rnacentral:lncRNA from 1 species
UGUUUGAGGGGUAAGACUGUUGAACGAAGGAUUUUGACUUCAGUCCGCCAGAGUAAUUGUCCAGACCAGGAUGUAUCUAAGCCGUCCACGUGUCACCAUCCAAUAGCUGCCAUUCCUCAAGUUUUCCUAGUCUGGCCUAUGCUGGUCAUACUACAAGUUUUUUUUUUUUAAUACAACGACGCCUCACACCACACAUGCAUGAGUACAGCUAAUAAAAUCUGAAAAAAGAAGCUGAUGGAGAGAACAAAAAUAGCUGCUUGGUUCUCCCAAAGAAACCCUUUAGAGUGUUGAUCCUCGAAGAAGGCCAUCCAGUCGGCCACACUGUUCGUCUUCUCGUAGAUAUGAGAGGCCUGGAAGGAUUGAGCUGCGAAAGAGCCACACCCUCUCACUAGUUUCUGAAUGUCGUAGAGAAGUGAUUGCCCGCUUGUCUCGUUGCGCCAACCUCGGACCAACUCGAUCACUGUGGUUGAGUACCAUUUAAGGUGAAUGCAUGCCGCACCGAGAGUAUAACUCGCAUAGGAGAUGCCCUCCGACGUAACUCUAAGCUCAGCUCCAAUGACAGAGGUAUUGAGCUCCACAAGGCCCCGACGGCCACAAGUCUGGCUUGUCUCUUCAAAGACAUACGAUAAAAUUGGUACAACAAGUUCUUUCAAGAAAAUAAUGAAAAAUGAAAGGAAUGCAUAUUCGAAUUCUAAUAUAUGAUGCAGACUCUUAUGAAUAUCCGGUGCGCAAAACAUCUUCCGUUGUCAGAUUUUUCAUUCCGUUUCUAUUUUCUGUCCUACUUUGGUGAAUUGGACAUGCAGUAUCAAGAUGGAUUAUUGAGCUUUCAUGCAAUAGAGUGCUGGGGCAUGGUUGACUACUGAUAAGAUUAUCAAUGCUAAGAAAGAUAUAAAGGUAUGGAAGUCUAAUGUUAGAAGAACUAGACGUCUAGUGUGCUGAUUAAAGACUCCUAGUGGAGAGCGUGUUGCAGAGAGAAUAUGCUCGAUGCUGAAUAACUUAAGCAUUGCUCAUCAGUGGAUGGGUGCUUGUGAAGGAUGAAGAUCUACAAGAUCGGUUCCAAAAGGGAAGUCCGGGGUGGAAAGUAUUCAUGAGUACUGAGGUGCUCAGGCUACAAGCAGAGUUAUAAGGUAAAACAUCUUGAGAUACUAGAAUCUUCGAAGAGGUAGAGCAAAUGGAGCUACUAAGGUGGGUCCACAAUGUAGGAAGGAUAUGGCAUCACAAUCUUAGGGCUCGUUUGGUCCGUGAAAAAAGGAGAAGAAAAGUGUGGUCAACGGAAAAGUAAUGAGAUGCAUCUUGUUUGGUUAGAGUUUUCAAAAGAGAGAGAUGGAAAAGUUAUAUUCCCAUUAGAAUAUGAUUNNNNNNNNNNNNNNNNNNNNACAUUUCAUGAGAGUUUUUCCUAUGAAAAAUAUGAAAAAGUUACUUUCCCAUGAGCUGGAAAUCAUUUUAUUUUUAUUUUUUUCAAAAUAGCCCUUCAGCAUUAAAGAGGCAUUAAAAAUCUAAUUUUUAUUAAAGAUAUAAUAGAAAUUAUACAUAAUUUUUCAGAAAAGUGGAUGGUCAACCAAACAUAAGCAUUUUGGAAAUCUGUCACUUUUCUAUGGUCAACCAAACAUGCUAAAAGUACUUUUUGACACAUCCUCUUUCUAAGAAUCUAUUUUUCAGAAAUUAUAUUUUUAGAAGGAAAAAUGCUUUCCGCGAACCAAACGAGCUCUUAAGGUAAAGGGUGAGGUACUCGAUUACACAUGGCAUGGUCAUUAUUCAUGAAUAUUAGAAAGGAGCCAUCUCUUGUGGGUAAUGGUUACGUUGAUGCACCGGAGUGGCAAACACCAGAAUUGAACUUAAUGGAAAUACUCUCAAGGUUAAUGGAACUAUUCUCAAGGCGAAGGAAUUGGAAAACGGAGGUAAUAAAGGCACGAUUUGACCAACGAUGCUUGCUGCCUCGGCAUAUUUUGUUACUGCACGAGGCGAAGUGCGCAUUGUAUAAAUGAUAAACAUGAGUAUGGUUGAAAUUCUUUACCAUCUUUAUAUGUCUACUACAUUUAUCUAUGUUAUUUUUACCGUCAAAUAUUUUUUGAUAUUAUUAAGUCAUUAUACAUCUAUGUAUAUAUAAAUUAUAUAGACAAAUAUAUCAAUUUAUAUAUUAUAAACGCAUAAACACAAAUAUAUACUUACAAAUAUAUGCACAAAUAUACAUAGAUACAUAGAGAGAGAAAGACUUGGCUAUACUCGAAUGGAUCUCUAUUUGAAUCCAGACAGAUAUAUUGAAUGAAGGAGAUCUCACAUCGAUGAUUCGAGCAAUUAGAUGUAAUCUAGUAGCAGUAGACAUAAAAAAUCAUGUAAUUUAGAAAUUCCUAAUUUAUGUAUCAGAUAGUCAAAAAAUUAAAUAAUAUAAAUAAUGUCAAAUUAUUUUUUUUUUCGGAUCACUUAUGUAUAGACUAACGGCCUCCAAAUUAUAUGACUUUUAAUAUACAUGCUGUUUAAAGAUAGUAAAUCAUAUUCAAUAGCUCGGAUUAUCGAUAUGAGACCCAUAUCAUCCUAUCAAAAUUUGAGAGGAUUUGAAUGGAGAUAUCGCAUGCAAUCACUCCACAUACCAUCCAUAUAAGACCGUAUGCAAGAUAGCACCAUCCAAUCUAUACCAAAUAACAUGAAGGUCCAAUUCCAAGCAAAGAAUAACCCUUCACAUUACAAAGAUAAAGCAUGGAAUAACUUUUCAUACCAAGGUAUGGUUCAUAUCCAAAUAAUCUUACUUUAUUCCAAUGCCCCUAGCACAAACAUUUAUUUUUGUGAAGUGAGAAUUUCUUUUCUGAUGCAAACUUAAUACUUCCCUGGAAGUGCUGGCCUUGCCCCAGGACGAAAUCAAUCAACAACAAACUUUCGCAUAAAUCAACUGAAUCAACUGAUACCGUAACUAAUCUCUCUACUGCAUUAACAGCUACAUAGCUCAUAAAGUUCAGUACUAUGAACACGUAACCUUGCCAGCAACCAAACGUCCAUUUGAAAAGUUAAUUUAUGGACUAAACCCCAAGUUUAAUUGAAGACCAUGGACUCCUAGAUUGCAAUCCAAUUUCUGGAAUAGAUUUGCCGUUGUUUCCAGAUCCAAAGAGAAGAUAUAACGGGGGCAAAAGCUUGGAAUCCUCAAUGCUUAAGAGUUGGAAACUCUUAAAGGGAAAAGUAAAAGAAAAGAAGAAAUGGGACAAUAUAUAGUUCGAUACAAAAUUCUCAAUGAAUCACUGAAAAGUCACAGGAUGUGUUUGCCUGUCAUAAAACAAACCGUAUCCAGAUACAUCACUUGCCAAACAACCCAACAAGUUGACCGAUUAAAACCAUUGAUUCUAUUUUAUGCUACUAAAUCUUUUGUUUUUUAUCUCAAAAGAAAAAUUAAUUCUACAAUUAUUCUUCAACUCAAUUUUUCAUGUAUCAUAGCAAGAUCAAUUGAACAAGAUCACACUGCAGCAGUUUUGGGGGCGUAAAGUCAUAUAUGAAUUAGGUACUUGCAAGCAUAAAUUGGACAAAAUUUAAAUCAAACCAUGCUUUAAAGAAGCAUUCGAUACAUGAUACACAAAUACUUCGCGCACACAGUUUGAUACCCUCAUGCCUCAUCUUCGGCUUAUUUCAAAUUAGGCUGAAAUACUCUUAACACCACUCAUCCAUGACAUAUGCAGAUGCUUGCAACACUCUUUAGUAUUUGUCAAGCAAAGGUUUUGUUGAUUGCAUAUGAAUUCAGAGACAAAUGCAACAUUGGCUCAUGGACGCCAACAAGAUAUACAUAUAUGCCAAAUCGUCCAUGUCAUAGCUUACUAAAACCCCUUUGUUGUUAUGAUGUCAAUGUCCGAAAGCAGAUUUCAGAAACAUUAACAUGGCAGCAAGCUUAAACUAUGACAAUGGUGAAAGAAAUUUGUACCAUACCAAUACUUGUCAACAAAAGAAGCAUACAGGCAAGUGCACAGACUACAUGCAUACAUAGCAACAAUCCAUGACAUGAAAGCUAAGAAUCAGUACUAUUUAGACAAGCUUGAUUUAUUUAAAUUGAGAAACCAAACACUUUGUAAAAUGUGCAAACAAAUGCCGUAACCGAUAAAGGAUAAACAGUCACAACAUUGACCAGAAAACCACAUCUAAUUGACUGCAGAGUGCAAACCUACUGCAACCUCAGAAUGUCUUCUUCCUUCUAGUGCUUCUUAUCUUUCAAUGGGCUCCUGGGAAUCUUACUUAGAACCUUGGCAUCAAACACCCCAUACUGCUUCUUGAUUUCUGCCAUUGCCUUCUCCGCAAAUGAGUCGACCUUGUCCUCAUACUUCUCAUACAGAACUGGCACCGUAUGCAACGUCACAAGCACUGUUUUAUUUCAUUCACAAGAGAUCCAAAAAAGUUUAGAAGUUCAAUGCAUUAAAAACCAAAAACUACCUACAGGAUUUUAACACACAAAGACUGGGAAAUUGAAAGAUAUCAUUACUGGUAUAGAACAAGGUCAAGAAAUUGCAGCAGCUCCCAAGGAUCGAAAGAACCCAGAGUCCGGCAAUCACCUAAGAAACGAUGUGUAUCAUUCAGUACAACAUAAACCGAGGCUCGCAAAAUGUUAUUUAAUAUCCAAGGGAGGCACAAGUCGAAUCAACAUACAACAAGGAACUUCUUCAGGUCCCGUCCUGAUGCGAUCUCCCUUAGAACAGCAAAGGCCCUGUUAAUCUCAUACCUCAGAGAGAGCGCAACAUUCACGGCCAGGUCUUCGGGAAUGCUCGCCUCUGGUAUGCGUGGCGGAGCCCUGAAAACAGAUGGAAAAUAAGUUAAAGAUCUAAUCUUGGACAUAAAGAAUCCAAAGUUUGUAUUUUUAAAAGAAAGACCUCACUUGUUGAUGAAGGUGCUUGCAUUGGACCAGAGGAAGAGAAUGGCCAGUGAGAGAAUGAGGCAGUGGCAGACCAGAGAGAGCAGAUGGUACUCAAGCAGCUCGAACAGAACCCAGACGGCGGUGGCCCCACCAAUCACUCCGGCGGAGAUCUUCUUGUUCCUCCACAGGAAAACAUCAGCAGCUGCAACAGUGAUAGACCUUAAUAAAUUUAAGGGGAAAAAUCAUGAUUUCAGAAAAACUAAUAUUUUGUGAUAAAGAUGAAUGCAAAAUUAUCGAGGUAAAAGAUUUUAAUAAAGAACAAGUGGCAUCCAAACCAAGGUAGGGUUUUUCACUUUAAAUCCACAAUAAUCGAUGGAAGUGAACAAGAUAAAGAUCAACAAUACUUAAAACGGCAUGAUAUAGUUUUCCUCCACUGGUUUCGAAAACCCGAAAAUCUAAGUACUUCCCAGUAGUAGAAAGAGAGUACCCAUUUAGGCGAUCGAGAUAGAUUUAAAAUAAGGAAAAAAUCACACCAAAGAACUCAGUUCGAAGCAUCUCGGUAGACCUAACCACAUGGGAUCCGAUUAUACAUUUCCAACCAAAAAAAAAACAAAAAGAAAUUUAUACUUUGCUUAACCUAGAUGAAGAAAUCAAAGGCAGCGGAUGGUGUGGAGGGGAUUGAAGGAGCGAUGGGAAAAGGAGGCGAUCCAUACGCUUGCCGCCGCCGAGGACGUUGUGGACGGACCUCUCCCGCCCGAAGAGGCGGUAGAUCUUGGCCUUGAUGGAUGAGGCGGACGGCUUCGAUUUCUCGUUGUCCGAAUCGGACGAGGAGGAUGAGUCGCCGUGGAGCUUGCCGACGAUCUUCUCCAUCAGCGACUCCGGCUUCGAGCUCGACUCCUCCGAGUGCUCAGCCAUCGCUCGCGACGAAACCCUAAUCCUCCUCCGCAGGGACACCGGAACGGCUGCUCUCCCAGGCACGACGGGAGCUCGAUCUCGCGCUCCACUUGGGAGAAAUCUCGACGGCGACUGGGGGGAUUAUAUACGGGGGACAGAGCCUCACAUAUGCGAUCCUGACCGUCGGAACCGGGCGCGUGGGGAUCGGGCCACUCGGCUCGAAAAGCCGGGCAGCGCGGGGCAACGGUAUGUGAAAUGGAUCAAAUUCCGUCUCCACGGUUGACGGCCGUCAAGAGUUGAGGGCAGCUCUUUUUUUUUUUUUAAUUAAAGCAGCGGCUCACACUAGACAAGUGCGAGCGCAUCUAGAAUAAUUCGAACUAAGAAGCAUAUGCAAAGUGGGAGGAACGGCCUCAUUGCUCUCUCAAACAAGCCUCUCGAAUGAUGCAUGGCAAAAGACGCAAUCCAGUCGACGGCUCUAUUUGCUUUUCAAAAAAUAUGCAUGGCCUAGAAAGUGUCAAACUUUUUUAACUGUUCUCAACGAGCAUCUCGCAUGAAUAAAGUCUUCUCAAGCUGCUCUCAACUCUACUCUAGUAACCGAUCCAUCGUAGGUGUGCCGGUCUCUCGCUGCUACGAAUCUAUAGUUAUAGUUUUUGAUUACAAAGCUCACUUGAGGAAGCUAGAUGGUAGGGGCUCCACGGUAUCUUACUANNNNNNNNNNNNNNNNNNNNNNNNNNNNNNNNNNNNNNNNNNNNNNNNNNNNNNNNNNNNNNNNNNNNNNNNNNNNNNNNNNNNNNNNNNNNNNNNNNNNNNNNNNNNNNNNNNNNNNNNNNNNNNNNNNNNNNNNNNNNNNNNNNNNNNNNNNNNNNNNNNNNNNNNNNNNNNNNNNNNNNNNNNNNNNNNNNNNNNNNNNNNNNNNNNNNNNNNNNNNNNNNNNNNNNNNNNNNNNNNNNNNNNNNNNNNNNNNNNNNNNNNNNNNNNNNNNNNNNNNNNNNNNNNNNNNNNNNNNNNNNNNNNNNNNNNNNNNNNNNNNNNNNNNNNNNNNNNNNNNNNNNNNNNNNNNNNNNNNNNNNNNNNNNNNNNNNNNNNNNNNNNNNNNNNNNNNNNNNNNNNNNNNNNNNNNNNNNNNNNNNNNNNNNNNNNNNNNNNNNNNNNNNNNNNNNNNNNNNNNNNNNNNNNNNNNNNNNNNNNNNNNNNNNNNNNNNNNNNNNNNNNNNNNNNNNNNNNNNNNNNNNNNNNNNNNNNNNNNNNNNNNNNNNNNNNNNNNNNNNNNNNNNNNNNNNNNNNNNNNNNNNNNNNNNNNNNNNNNNNNNNNNNNNNNNNNNNNNNNNNNNNNNNNNNNNNNNNNNNNNNNNNNNNNNNNNNNNNNNNNNNNNNNNNNNNNNNNNNNNNNNNNNNNNNNNNNNNNNNNNNNNNNNNNNNNNNNNNNNNNNNNNNNNNNNNNNNNNNNNNNNNNNNNNNNNNNNNNNNNNNNNNNNNNNNNNNNNNNNNNNNNNNNNNNNNNNNNNNNNNNNNNNNNNNNNNNNNNNNNNNNNNNNNNNNNNNNNNNNNNNNNNNNNNNNNNNNNNNNNNNNNNNNNNNNNNNNNNNNNNNNNNNNNNNNNNNNNNNNNNNNNNNNNNNNNNNNNNNNNNNNNNNNNNNNNNNNNNNNNNNNGGUCCAUCGAUCAACUAGAUCUAACCCUGCCAUGCUAAAACCUACUUGACCUUGGUAUCUUCUAAUAAGGGACCCACUCGACUAAUAGAGCUCUGAUACUAGAGCUAAAAAGAUAUCGGAUAGGUAUAUUCAUGUUCAUAUUCAUAUUUUUCUAACAUGUACAAAUAGAAUACAUAUAUUACAAGAAUACCAAAAAUUAAUAUUCAUAUUUAUUCAAAAUAGAUGCAUAUGUGAAUCGAAUAUUAAACAUAUGUACCUAUUUUGAAUGGAUAUGGAUACAAAUCAUACACAUCAGAUAUACCGAUAUUUUUUUAUCAGAAUACAAAUAUAAGUCAUAUAUUAUUUUCUUAUAAAUAUAAUUUGUUAGCUUAAUUUAAUAAUAAAUAUUUUUCAAUUAUAUAAUUAUAAAGAACUAGAAUAUAAUCGACUAUGUAGAUUGCACAUGACACAUAGAUAGCAAAGGAUCUACGACAUAGUUAUUAACUGCAUGAAGACUAACCUAAGCAAGAGAUCGGAUUAUUGAUCAGACCAAUUUUGUAUUAAAAAAUAAAAACUAAAAAAUAUUUUAAAAAUUAUAAUACAAAAUUAUUUAUAAUUUUUGCAUCAAAUACCAUCACUAAUUUUUACUUACAAUAUAACUAAAAAAUAAUCAUGAAUUAUUUGCUUCCAUAGAGCUUGUAUGAAAAACAUGCAUAAAUGUAGGAAUACAUAGAAGUUAUAAUAUUUUUAAAUUUUAAAAUAAAAUUUUGAAAGCAUAAUAACGAAUAAAAUAAAGUAAUACUAAUUAUUUAUAUUGUCACAUAGAUAGGAAUCCACUUUUAUAAUAUGACAUAUCACAAAAACAUGAAAUAAGAAUAACUAUAGAACAAAGUUAUAUUCGAAUCCAUACGUAGGUCCGGCUGGAUACCGUUAUUUCUAUCUUUACACACCAGUAACUGCAAUACUAACAUAUACAGUGAACUGCUCUCCGUGCUUCAGUUUUAUUUACAUGCUAGUUAUGCUCUGAGAGGAAUGUAGCCGUUGUUAUCGGGAUGCAGUAAUCCAUGACUUGGAAUUGCUAAUUUGGAUCAAAGAGGGCCCCAGCCUGUCUGGAUUUCAUCAUUUGAUUGGGAUCACGAUAAGGUCAUGAUGUUGAGAUCCAUAUCAUGGAUCAGUCAUUUGGAUCAUAAGAUCCAUUCUGAUCGUGUUAAUUACAUCAAAACCUCAGCUAAAUAUAUUUCCAAUGGUUAUUUCACUUUUCUGCUUUUACAACGACUUGGUAUUCACAAGCCCAAGAGAGUCUGUGGCUGACCAGUGCAUGUCAAGUUCAAUGAUAGAGAUUAGAGAAGCCUUUCUCUUGUUUUUCACUUUGUCCUUGCUUUGUUUCCAUUUUCCUUUUAGGUUUCAUUAGCAUGACCCUCACGCUUAAACUUGCCCCAACCCAAUAUAUGACUCCAAUUUUAGAGCUUGGCAUCAAGCUGGUAUUUAGUUGUAAAUAUCUGCUUAGCCUUUCCUUCAAAAAACUUCUGCUUAAUCUUUUUCAUGGAGAAUUCUGAGCUUAGAGCUAUAUAAGCUCCAUUUCCGAACCCACUCUUGUAGGGAAAUGUUUAGAAUAAUUUGACGAGGAGAAGGAUGACAAACGGUCUUCCUUGUAUAACAUUGACAAAGCUUUCGGUCGGAAAAUCCAAAUGGUACAUGGGUCGGCGGUGGGCACCAACCGAGAGGAGGAAAAGGGGUCGCUCGGUGGGCACCAGCCGAGAGGAGGAAAAGGGGUUGCUCGGGGGGGCAGGGCUAGGGCUUGUAAGGGCUUCGAUCAAGUCAGGCACUGGGUGUAUUUGGGUUUGGAGGAGUUGGACUCCGAUGAUGCUUAUAAGCGUCGUCUUAGGAUCAGGCUUCCGACGACGCUUAUGCGCGUCGUCUAAGGUUCAGACUUCCGACGACGCUUAUAAACAUCAUCUUAAGGUGGCGUAUGCUCUGAUGACGCUGAAACAUAUUGGCGAAGCGGCCAGGAGUCUGACGAUGCUUUUUAGCAUCGGCUAAGCUGGCAGGAGUUUGCCGACGCUUUUAAGGGGCCAAAUUUACUGACGCUUCUACCUAAUGUCGGCAGCUAAAUGUCAGGAAUGACCUCUUUUUCUGCAGUGAGUGGACGGCAUAGUUCUUAGUUUGAUAUUAAGACAGCAUCUGAUAUGUGUAAAUAUUUAAAUGAAACUAGGUAAGGAAUCCUCCUGAAUAGAUCUAGGGUUACUACUUUUCUGUGCAUAAAGUAUAUGUUAAAUGUCUACUACCGCACUGAAUCUUCGAACCUUCUCAAACCCUAUUCAUUCGGCGAUCAACCGACGAUCGAUCGGGCGGGCAGGUUGGGAAGGGGUGAUUAGUGGAGAAAGGAAUCGUUGAGAGAUAGAUUCUACUGUUUGAUCAGGACGAAUGUGAAUCCGUAAUGAUAGAAGCGCAGAAACAUCUGAUCCCAUGAAUGUUGAGAAGCAUGUUGCUUGGCUUUCCAACUGCUUGAGAACAUCAUAAUAGUUGACUGCAUCUUCUUAGGAACUUGCUGCACCAUCAACUUAAUUAGAGAAAAAAAUCGGAGAACACAGCGGAUAGAUGCUCCACACCUAUUCUCAGACAUAUCCCUUUCCGGAUUUUCAUGGCAAAUGGACAUUUAAGAAGGAUGUGGACAGUACAUUCUGAAAGAGCACAUCAUAAAAAAAAAGGAAAAAAAGAAAUAAAAACUGAAUCAAGGAUCGCUCCUGAAAGCGUAUCGAUCCUCCAAUACAUCGACCAAGUUUCCUUUGAAGAUUGCCCCUGGAAUCGAUUUGGCUCGUGAAACAGAGUACAAAAGAAAACAUUUAAUAUUGGUUGGGAUCUUCAGCUUGCCCAAACACCUGGUUUCCAUCCACUUAAUUCCUCUUAAGACUCGGAACUCGUAGAAAGAGGCAGCUGAGAACACACCUUUCUUAUCCAGAUUCCACACAUUUUGAUUAUGGUCUAUAUUUAGGUGGAAAUCUGCCAAAAGAACUGAUAGUUUUUGGAGUUCUUCCUUGGUCUCGUUAAAGAGGACCGAAUUCUAAGCUUCUAAGAUGCUGUUUUACUAUUGCACAACCUGAUUUUUUUAGCAGAACUAAACGAGCAGCUUUCUCAAGAUAUAAUCUAGCUUAUUAUCUUAUAUUUUUUUGUCAAACCCAUGUUAUUUUAGGCUCCUGGGCUAAUGAAGGCAUUGUCCAUAAGGACUUGGACGCUUAUUAGGAAUUAUUUCAAAGGCAUCAAGCAGGUAUAUUAUUUCAACAGAUUUAUAAGGAAAUGCAAGUUUGCUUACAAAAAUUAAAAAAACAAAUGGAGUGGUUGUCAUGAGCAACCGCGGUCUGGGGUUGAUACAGAUACGUACAGUCUAGAGGUUACGUUGUCACGAUUUGGGAGGAUUCUGUCACACAGUUACUGCUGCGGAGAACCACCCCUAGUUUUUUUUUCUGAUGACGGGGGAGACCAUGGGCGUUGAGGCGCUUGGAGUUGUUCUAUCUGCUGAGGGAUAUGGUGAUAGAAAAGGCAUGUCACGCCGGGUUGCAUUCAGCCAUUAACAAGAGAGUCCACGACGAGAGCGACAGAGUUUUUUUUCCAGCUGCUGAUGCGAAAGUUCGAGAGGUCGGGUACCGUAAAGUUGAUGGCAGUGUUCUGUUUCUCCCCUCAGCAACGACUGCAUGCCAAAAUGGAACUUUCAAGGUGUUUGUUGAUGGAUGCUCAAGAAUGACUGUAGUGUGACAUUUGAAGGCGAACCACCUUGAAAUUUGAAGAUCUCUUUGUUAUUGACAAUAAAUUGAAGAAAAAUGAUGUGUCCCUGCUCAAGAAUGGAAGUUGAGAUUUGCUCUAGUUUGGAUGUCAUGGAGGUUGCCUUGACUAUCGUCCUAGACUUUACAGAUGGACAGUUUGCUAGAAAUAUUUUGCCUAAAAAUUAUUAUAUUUUUAUUUUAUAAAAGUAUUAUAAAGAAAUAGUCUAUUAGAAUAAAAUCAGAUGAUUGAAAAGAGCCUAGCUGGAUCGAGGCGUAUGAUAUACAUUGUCCUAAUUAAGAACGUGAUUUGCCUCCUACGUGCAGGUCUGCGACAAUCUCAUUCUCAAGGUACUACAACCUGGCUCAACCUGAUCCUUUUCUAAUGAGCACGAUUGCUAUGGAUGCUUGAUCCGGUCGACUCCUUCAGAUGCCCAGAAAAGAUACAAAGCUAGAAAGUAGAAAGUUGGAGAGUGAAAGAACUCUCUAUCUGCGAAAGAAACUCUCGAGAGACAGAAUGCCAGUAAGAGAGACAUUGGAUCGUUUUUUAAUUAAUCCUGAAAGAGUUUAUUUAUAGAUUCUAUCUGGAAGACCGAAAAGAUGCGAUGAUUCCAAAGAUAUGUUAUGUUUUGGAAUUACCGUAUCUUUUUGAAAACUAACGUUCUUUUUUGAAAAGUUACGACUCUUCUAACAUAGUAUUUCGAAAAAAAAUAUUUAAAAUAUUUAAAACAACUAAUGGUUAAGAAAUAAAAAGAUAAUUUUAUUAAUUCAAACGCGAACACAGUUUUCAGAACGAUAUAUGUUGAAAGAAGAGCACCCUAGCAGUGUAUAUACUGACUCUCACCAAAAUCUGUGAAAGAUUUGGAAACUACAGGCCAGAAUUUCUCAGAACUUUUGCAAGGGAAGGAUCACUUAUGACAGGGAAUUUAUGUGAUAUUUUUUUUGGAUAAUGCACUGUUUUGAUUUGGAAAAUAUGGUAGAAAAAUUGAACUUGUUAUUUAGAAAAAAUGACAAAAAAAAUGCACGAUAGGCUCCCAGGGAACAAACUCUGUGAUAGUCCAACGUGUGAGUUGAGAGCUGGAGCAUGAUGGUCAUCAGAAAUCAAAGCAAACCACCCUAGGCCCUAAUAGCAUGUGCAUAGAAUAUACAUCAUGGUUCAAUAUUUUUUCACUCAUCAUUAUUGUAUUUACUCUGACCUCCAUAUGUAGAUCAAAAUAUUGGAUAUAGAAUGCCGAUCUUCAAAAUGUGAAAAAAAAGGUCCAAUAUUAAUUUGGUGGUUUGAGAUGUGAUAACUCUGAUCGAGCUUGGUGGCACCAAACUUCUGGAGGUUUGGGAUGUGAAUGCGACACAGUACCGAUAGUUCUGCCACUUCAUUACUUAUUCAGAGGAAGGGAACAAUGGUUCAAUAGGCAAAAUUUUGCAGCUGGUCGCUGCUAUUGCAUGAAGUUUGUACUCGUGAACUUUAUGGUGUGGGGAACGGUGCAUUAGUAGGCAUGUGAACUUGAUAUUUGUUAUCGUGCGUCGAAGCCAAGUCCAAAGUCCAAAGUCCUAAUUAUAUGCAAUCUGAAAACUUCCAUAUUGCUCCAUUUUGGAGAUCCGUGAGGAAGAGGUUCGACGUCUAAAUUUGUACACUGUGCAUGAUAUGAAGUGCAUAAUUCCAAAUUGUGCAUAGUUGCCUGCAUGCCUGCAUGGUUCGCCUUGAUCUGACGUGGUCUGGAUUAGUGUGAAAAACUGAGUCAAUAUGACCAUAGGUUAGCUCAAGGGGACCGGUGGAUGAGGCAAUACAGUUUUAUAUCUUGCAUGGGUAAUGCUUCCAGAUUCAUGUUACAUAUCACACGAACAAUUUUGCUUCUUUUUUUUUUGGCCACACGGCACAAGGGAAUCAGUGUAAUUUAUCCAGAGAGAAAGAUAGAGAUUCAGUCCAAAGAAGCCUUACAUAAUAGGAGUUAAAUAGACUUAAGCACAACUCUCUCUUUCUCUCACGCAGCUCCUUGUCAGUUUGCAGUCCAAUAGUAGCCCAUGAACAUUCCUCGCAGAUUGGAUUUAGCCAUUGACAGGCUAAAUCAUACAUGAUCAUGAUGACACCUUCAGCCAAAAAAAAAAGGCAUUGUCCAUGACCCGAAGCCCCUCAAGUGCCUUUACACACAAAGGGUUGGUUAAUUACGAAAUUAUCAAAUUAGCAUUUUUCCUGGCCAAUAAACAUUUCUUCUGCAUAUAAUGGAUGCCUCAAAGUAUUUCCAUCUUACACACACACUCUCUCUCUAUGUACGUAUGUAUGCAUGCACGCAUGCUUGUAUUUAUGUAUGUUUAUAUGGAUAUGUACGUAUAUAUAUUGUUGAUUAUCACUUGAUGACUUAAAUCUUUUGUAUUGCUUUUAAAAGGUGCUCGGUGAUAAUAUAGAGACCAAUUUAUUAUAGGACCAAUAUCCCUUAUAGCACUUACAACCCUUAGAAAAUUCAACGUCAGCUUGACAAGAUCCAAGAUCAUCAAUCUCCCCUUGGGUAACAUCAGAGUACAACCGACGGUAGAUGGCAAGAUGGUAAUUUACUGCAACGCGAGGCCCGUUUAAUUAGAACGACUAUAGAAGCCGUAGCUCCAGCAUUCCUUGUCCGCUUGCACCCGUAAGCAAAAGCGGGAAAGUAUCUGCUUCUCCUGUCAGAUACUCCGCCAGUCCAACUUUCCCUAUAUGCCUCCCUCCUCUCCUCCCCCUGCCAUUGAAAAGUUAAAAAUAGGAAAAACGCCAGCUUUACCAAAAAGCCUUUUCCUUUUACAGGCCCCCGUACCAAUCAGACGGCGCACAAACACGCUCCAUGAUCACCCACGGCUGAGAUGCAUCAAGCAGUACCAAAUCCCUGCCGCUCGGUACGAGUCACGUUCCUCUCGACAGCACUUCCUUUCCCACCUCACGUGACAUUCCCUCCCGACCAUGGAAAUUGGAAAACGACUUCAGCACGAGCUUUGAGAUGGCUACCGACUGGGGCGCACGCUAAAUUCAAAGUCCAGCUGUAUGAAAUUCGACUGACUGGAAUUUAUAAUUCUUGCAAUCCGCUUUGCAGCGGGGCUGCCAUGCGGACGCGAAAAAAGAUAUUGCAGUAUGUUUAAAUUUCUCUCACUUCCGUCCGUCCCGUGGAAAAGGCAUGAUUGUCCUGCCGAGGCUGCACUAACUGCUGCUUUCUGACCCUUCACACGGUCUUUGCAGCGUUUCUGCUGCCCAAACUUACUCUCCUCCCCUUCCCGCUUUCUUCCUUCUUCCUCUUUUUUAGUCUCCUGCUCCUUCUCCUCUGCGCUUCUCUUCCCUCUCUUUAAAACGUAGUAAAGAAGAGAGAGCUGAAGAGGGAAAGGAAAGUAGCCGAGAGCGCUGCCCUGCCCCUGGCUAACCCAACCAUGGAGUCAUUCAGCUUGCUCAAGUACUGGAGGGGCGGUGGCGGAGCGGCUCUGGCUGCAGCCGCCGCCACGGCCGCCUCUAGCGUGUGCACCGCUGCUAACGCCGCCACUACCACCAUCGCCACCUCUGUCCUCAACCCGUCGGCAGAGACCGACGACGACGGCGGAGAUGUCGGCGACGAUGGCCCCUUCUUCGAUCUCGAGUUCGCCGUGCCGGAGGAGGACGGCGAGGGGGAGGAGGAGGACGGUGGAGAAGAGAAGGAUGGCUCUGCGGCGGGGAUGGAAGCGGAGUCGGACGAUAACGAGGAGGGGGAGUUUAAUUUCAUGGUGUCUUCGGAGGGGAGCUGCGGCGGCGACCUUCGGUCCGAUCCCCUCUCUCCUUCAGACGAUCUCUUCUUUAAAGGGAAGCUCGUGCCUCUGGAGCCAUCCUCGAUCGUGAUCACCUCGUCCGAGGCCGAUCCCAGGCCUCAGUUCGCCGUUUCCCUUCUCAAGUCCGCGACCAAGUUUCGAGUCUUCAUGUUAGGCCUCCGGAAGGCAAAAUCCACACCGGCGGAGCCCAAUGGGGCUCCCGCCGCCCCGAGCACGGCGGCCACGGCGUCUCCAAAGCAGCAAUCGCGGCCGCAGCCGAGCAAGUUCUUCAUCAAAUUUAAGGUGGAGGAGGUACCGAUCAUCUCGCUCUUCACCCGCGACAACGGCUCCCGUAACUCCAGCGGCAGUAAAGCGGCGAAAUCCCAGGCGGAGGAAUCCGCAGCAGCGCCGUCCUCGGCAGCGGCGGAGGACUCCGCAGCAGCGCCGCCCUCGGCAGCGGCGGAGGAGAAGAAGUUCUCCAAGGAAGUGGUGCAUAAGUACCUCAACAAAAUCAAGCCGCUCUAUGUCAGAGUAUCGAAGAGGUACGCCCAGAAGCUGAGGUUCUCCGGUCACCUGACCCCAGGCGAGGCGGCUGCGGCGGCGGCGGCGAAGGCCGGGCCCAACGAAGGCGAGGAGACGGACGUGGAGGCGGAAGCGGCCGCGCCGCCGUCGGCGGCACCGGCGACGACAGCAGGGACGGCGGCACCGGCGACGACAGCGGGGACGGCGGCGAGCGGCGUUAAGUGCCAGAAAGUGAACUUGCCGACGGGGUUGAAGGUGGUGUGCAAGCGGCUGGGGAAGAGCCGGUCGGCUUCGGCCGCCGUCGCCGCGGUGCCGUCACCGCCGCCGCAGAGGCGGGACGACUCGCUCCUCCAGCAGCAGGACGGGAUCCAGAGCGCCAUCGCGCACUGCAAGAAAUCGUUCAACGCGGCCGAAGGUACGAACGAGCCGGGUCCGGUCACCUCUCUUAAGGAGCGGUUGGUGAUGAAUUUUGUUUUGUUUUUUUUAAGUAAUGAUUGGUGAUGGUUUUAAAACAUUAGGUUUCUGUCUCUUUUGGUGGAUUUGGGUCCGGUUUGGCAGGGUCCGAGUCGCCUCUGGUGCGAUCCAAGAGCGAUCCAUGCGAUGGGAGGUCCGAUAAGGGCGACUGCGUUUGAUGAUCUGAUCCUCACCGUUGGAGUUUUGAUACACGACGUGAGAAAAAAGUUAGAUGUCUUUCGUCCUAUGGUGGAAGUAUGGCGUUAUGGAGAGAGCUGGCGGCGAAAGAUCUCUUUUAGCCGCGGCGAAGUUGUGUGCCUCUUUCUUUUUUGGGGGAGGGUAAGUUUUUUCUCUAUCUUUUAAAUGUUCGAGUGGCGGUGCUUGUGUAAUUAUAUAUCUUCCUUAUCUAUUCGAACUUUACCAUUGCGAUGGAGCCGUUCUUUCUUGUUGGUUACACUACACGGAAGACGAGGAGAGAGCGAGAAGGAGAAGACAGUAGUUUCUUUUUCUUCCUCGUUCUCGUGAGAAGGAGAGGACGAUUACGUGAAAGAUUCUGUGGCAUGGGGAACUCUGCUGCUAUUUCUUUAACCAUCAUUUUUGAGCAUUUAUGUGCAAUGCUGCAGCAGCUCUGCGGCAGUCCUAUGUAUCUUUAGCUCUUUUCUUUCCGUCUUUGCGUGGGUGGGUCGUCAGGAACCUGAAUACCGGGGCCUUUUUUAGCUUAUGGCAAAGAGAAAGUAGCUAGCCAAGGCCAGAAAGGAAACCUGAAAAGCUUUGACAACAGUGAGAAGAGCAUAGCUGCAUCGGCCAAGCUCUCCUCUCUCCCUCUCUCCCUCUCCCCCCCUUCGCUUUUUGCCUUUUGUUUCAGAAAUGUAGUGCCAGCACCGGAGCUCUAUCUACUCUUCUUUUGCUCNNNNNNNNNNNNNNNNNNNNNNNNNNNNNNNNNNNNNNNNNNNNNNNNNNNNNNNNNNNNNNNNNNNNNNNNNNNNNNNNNNNNNNNNNNNNNNNNNNNNNNNNNNNNNNNNNNNNNNNNNNNNNNNNNNNNNNNNNNNNNNNNNNNNNNNNNNNNNNNNNNNNNNNNNNNNNNNNNNNNNNNNNNNNNNNNNNNNNNNNNNNNNNNNNNNNNNNNNNNNNNNNNNNNNNNNNNNNNNNNNNNNNNNNNNNNNNNNNNNNNNNNNNNNNNNUCAAAUUACACUCGAUGUCUUCUCACUUUGUGAGAUAACAUUAUUUAACAAUAAUUGAAAUGGUAAUGCAACCAUUGUGUUGAUUCCUUUUUUAUAUUAACCAACGAAAAACGAAUUGCAAGAUUUUCUUUCUUUUUUGGGUUCACAACGAGACAAAGCCUCAACUAAGUAAAUGUAAAACAAGAAUAAUUGAAACAAUCAGCCCUAGCUAAGUCCAUAAACUAAGUAGAGUGGGAAAGCUUGCAUUUUGUUCAAUACUUAUCCUAGUAGUAAAGGGAUAUUAGAAGCUUUAAUUUUAGAAAGAAUAGAUCAAAGAUAAGAAUUAGUUGGUUUUCAAGUCUGCAGAACCUAUAAAAUGGACAGCAUUUAGAAGAAGAGAAGACAUUAAUAUUCAACAGUAUAUGAUGGUAAUAUUGUUGAAUCAUGAGGAGAGGGGGGCGGGCACAGACUUAGUGAAGAAAAGGAGGCACAUAAAAGGAAUAUAUUUUGCUAAAAUCAAAGGAAAUUCUGGAACAUAAUAAAAUUAUGGAUGUGUAAAUAAAAUCAACAGAAAAUAGUAGAAAAUAAUGGAUAUUGUAAAUACAAUCAACAUAGAAUAGGAGAUUUUAUAUACUUACCAAAGUGAAGGAUAUUUCGGAAUGAAAAAUUCUAGUUGCUCCAUAUAACUAGAACCAGACACAUGCAAAACAUGGGACGGAUAGAAAAAAGAGAUCUAGUUUAAAAUAUCUCUUGAUGAUUCGUCCAAAUUCAAUAUUAACUAUUAUUUGACUAAUCUUUGGAGGAGUCUUAGUCAUUGUUCAUGCCAAUAUAGGAAACUUUAGACUAGUCAAAUGUAAGUUAACUAUAAGCUCCCAUCUCUGAAAAAGAGCACGCAUAGAAUGGAUUAUUCUUGCAAGCAAUACUACUUGAUGUUCUUAAUUAAUAAAGGGUGAUUUGCAAGAUAUCUGCACUAGUCUAAAAAAAAUGCAAAUAUGAGGCCCUCUUUUUUUCGUAUUUUGUGGGAUAGAUUUCUGAUUAUUUUAAAUUUUUUUGGGCCAUUGUACUCCUAGAUAAUUAAUACAUUAACAUAUGGCACAUAUAUAGGCUCAUUAUUAUUAUUUUUUUGCAUUGACAAGCUUAGAAUGGAUAUUCAUUUGCUAUAUCUUAGAAUGAGUUACUUGUGUUUUAAAACAAGUUAAUAGGAAGUGAUUUGCUUGGCAUUUAGUAAAGCAUAUGCCAUAUCUUGAAUGUUUAGCAUGAGAUUUCAAUAUAAUUUGAGCUUUUAGUAGUCCUACUUUGGAGUUCAUAUCAUUGAUCUCAAAGGACUCAAAUGAAUCCAAGCACUCUUGAUAGCUCUAUUGUUAUUAUUACAGCAACUAAUAUCUAGCACUGUGAUGCAUGCAAUCUAUGCAAGAGAGAAAAGCAAACUGAUAGACGGCUAUAAUCCCAUUUGCUUGGAAGACGGGGUGGAGCACUCGGCUUCUCUCUCCUUUCUUUUUUUUUUNNNNNNNNNNNNNNNNNNNNNNNNNNNNNNNNNNNNNNNNNNNNNNNNNNNNNNNNNNNNNNNNNNNNNNNNNNNNNNNNNNNNNNNNNNNNNNNNNNNNNNNNNNNNNNNNNNNNNNNNNNNNNNNNNNNNNNNNNNNNNNNNNNNNNNNNNNNNNNNNNNNNNNNNNNNNNNNNNNNNNNNNNNNNNNNNNNNNNNNNNNNNNNNNNNNNNNNNNNNNNNNNNNNNNNNNNNNNNNNNNNNNNNNNNNNNNNNNNNNNNNNNNNNNNNNNNNNNNNNNNNNNNNNNNNNNNNNNNNNNNNNNNNNNNNNNNNNNNNNNNNNNNNNNNNNNNNNNNNNNNNNNNNNNNNNNNNNNNNNNNNNNNNNNNNNNNNNNNUUUUUUUAGAUAUACGAUGUGAUGUCACGCCCUUCAGGAGGCGGCACUCAUAGUGAUCGAACCCAAAUUCUAUUAUUUGGGGUCUGAAAUAAGCCGAUCAAAUCGAAACUUUUUUUGGUAAGACUUUGGCUAUAUUUUAAGCCAUACCUCCAAAAUUCUUUCGGUGAGGAGGUAUUGAUUAUCCUGACCUUGGGUUGAGCCGCCCUCUUUGUCCUUGGCUAUAACCGAGGUAAACGAUUUUGGAAAAUACCGCCGUGUCAUUUUGCUUGGUGCGAUAAGGAUUGACAGUUACGCUUAUACAAUGGUAAAUGCAUGAUUGACACAAUUAUCACCGCAUGCUAAUUAUGUGGAGCUGUUACCAACUUACCAUGCUAUUAAUGCACAAUCAACUGUUAUCAUGCGGUUAUGGCACGUCUCACUAAAUUAGGUAAUGGACUUUAAUUUCAUCCUAUAUAUAGAAAUGAUUCGGAAACUCUAGGGUAAGCAAUCUCACGCUCCUUUCUACACAUUCUUCUCUCUCUUCCAUGGUUGCUUUAAAUUUUUAACUUAAACAUCGGAUGGUCUCUCGCCAAAAACCUUCUGACAAGUAGACUUUUUUUGCAGGUUGACACCGCCUCCCAUCUUAGUUUCAACCGACCUCAGAUCACUCCAGUUCCAACCGAGCUCAGCACAACAGCAGGUGGAGUUCGGCCUUAGUACAAAAUCUAGCGGCAAUAUCUUCCAUCUUCUUUUAUUUUUUUUUUUAAGAAAUUCGAGUUGGACAAAUUGAGAUAAUUUUUUUUUCUUCGAUCAAAUUAUAUAUAAAAUAUAUUUAUUGAACUUUUAUCUAAAAACCAAUCAUUUCAUUGGGAUGAAGGAGGAAUUGCAGUGUUCAAAUCACCGACGGCCGCCUAAUUAGAACAUGGAACCUCCUUUCAAGUCUCAACUGAAGAGGGAUUCAAUUACUAGGCUACAAUCUCAUCUGCGAACACCAAAUGUCUUAGAAUUAUCAUAAAUUGUGCUUAAAAUUUUGAAUAUUAAACAGAUUAUUGCACAGUUGUUCAUAAACACUCAGUGCAACUUGGACUUAGUCCAAGCUUAAGUGUUGUUGACUUAUGAGCUUUGUCAAAGCCCAGCCAUGGACCAGAUUCUUAAAUAAAAGCCGGUCUGUAAUCAAACAAAAUUAUUCCAGAUAUUGUUCAAUUGGUCUCAGCCAAAAAUCGCUUGAAAGGUCAGGUUGAGGCUUUUAGCCUAAAACUAAGAAUUAAUCCAAAUUAGAUCUGAAAUGCAGCACUAAUUACCAAACAUGUCCCAAAAAAAAAUCAAUUAUAUUUAACCCAUUGACCAUUCACCAGAUGCGUAGUCCUCUCCCAUUGUUUCUCUCACGCAUGACGUGAUUCACAUGCAUCUCGAAUUUCCCAAGAAGAUUAACUCUCUUGAACAUUUAUUUUGACGGAGAUGGCGAAUACUAAAGAAUUAAUUGUAGCUAAUUCAAGGGACAAGCAUAGGCCCAGAAGCAUAUUGUUUGCAGUCUUCAAUUUAACACCAGUAGAAGGCAAACCCCAACGCAUGAUCUCGUGUUAUGUAAGGGGAACACCAGGAGGUUUUAAAGGGAGCAUUCAUGCCCUCUUGACAGUAAUCCAUUAGAAUCCAAAGCAUUGCACAAAUCAAAGCUUGGUAUGUGGUUCUUUGCCUUUCAUAAAGCCAUGGGGUCCGGGAAUUGCUUACUUUUUCUUUUAACAGCUGGUAAUCUUCACGCUGAUGUUAAUGGUGUGAUGUCUCAUCUUUCAUUUCAACCUUUGGAACUAGUGGUUCCAUUAACCUGGAGGGGUUCCGGAGCAAAUGCGCGAGGCUUUUCUAAUAAACAAAGAUAUAUGAUAGUUUCUUUCUGCUAGAGGUUUGAUAAAUUACAGUAUGUGAAUGGCAAUGCGUGGUCCAUGCGUCCAGUGAUUACUACAUUAAUUGCAAUGGGUUUGUCAUUGGAUGUGGACAUGUUAUUUGUUACACAAUAAUAAGAGUGCCUCUUGUGGCUUGUCCUUUCUCGAUCCUUGUGAAUGGUUAAGCGAUUUUGGUCAAAAUGAUCAUAUUUUUCAACGCAAUGGGCCCUCUUCACUGAAGUAAGGGAAUGUUAAAGGUAGUUCCAAGAUUAGUCAUAACAAAUAAAUAAAUAAAUGAUAGUUCCUGGAUUUUAUUACAUUUGCACUAGGCUUCUUGGGUAUAGCCCAAAUUUAGAGGAGUUUAUGCGAAUUUGCCGGUCUAGGCCCCAACUUGGUCAAAGACUCCUAAAAGAUAUUGCAAAGGGGAGAGUUUUAUUUUUAGAAUUAAGGGCUCGUUUGGUUUGCGGAAAAAGAAAGAGAGAAAGUAUGGUCAACGAAAAAGUAAUAAGAUGUUUCUUAUUUGGUUGGAGUUUUCAAAAAGAGAGACGAAAAAGUUGUAUUUAUAUGGAAAUAUGAUUUCCACAUUUAAUGAAAAAGUAUUUUCCAUGAGAAAUAUAGGAAAGUAACUUUCCCAUGAGGCGGGAAUCACUCAAUCUUUAUUUUUUUCCAAAAAAUCCCUUUAGUAUUAAAGAGGCAUUAAAGACCUAACUUUUAUUAAGGAUAUAAUGGAAAUAACACAUAACUUUCCUAGGAAAGUGGAUGGUCAACCAAACAUAAGUACUCUAAAAAUCUGUUAUUUUUCCGUAUUAACCAAACAUGCCAAAAGUACAUUUCCAGACAUUCUUUUUAGGAAUCAUAUUUUUAGAAGGAAAAAUACCUGGUUUGGAAGCUAAAUCUCUUUUCACUGGCCACCGAAAGAAAAUAGGUUAAAAAAAUUAAAAAAAAUUAAAAUACCAAAUCAAGCACACCGUCUGCGCCAUUACAAUCACCUCGUCUCAUUUAUGUGAAUUAUACUUAUUAUGCAUUCAUCUUGAACUACCGUCCUUCUCAUUUCAUCUUGAAUUGUGUCUAUGGUGCAAGAUAUAAUCUCUUAAUAUGUAACGUCAUAUCAAGUCAGCUUCCUCGAUUCCCUUUUUUUUUCCCUGCGAUCCUAUAAUCUACCUUCGAAAUCAUCCCUAUUUAGAGUACGAAAGUGACAAAAUGGCUGCUGGGCAGCUGUUUAAUCGGCAAUUUGAUAUUUUUUGGGAAAAAUCAUAUUAAUGUUACUAUUACAACAUAAUCCAAAAUUGUAUGGCUGUUACUUUGGUCUCCGGACUAAUCUUUUGUCAAUAUCGCCGGAUCGUGAUUCUACCAACACAAUCAUUAAUAUUCAAUAGUCGUGUCUCAAAUCAUUAUAGAUUCUUUUCAACAGCACUUUCUCAUUGCUAAAGAGGCUGAAACUAGUAAAUCAUAAGAAAAUCCUACGAAAUUAUUUGGUAAAGCGAACAUCAUAAUCUUAGACAUAAUGCCAAAAAACGACUACUCUAUUUAAACCGACACCUAUAUUGUCAAUGAUAAUGAAGAGUAUUAAUUAGGACUAUCAUAGCGGCGCAGAACAACAUAACACGGUUCACAGGUUUUAGCCACGCACAGAAACUUUUUGACAAAGAGAGCUUUUGUAAGCGACGAUUCUUGAGUAAUACGGUAGAAAAUACCACCACACAAUUCAUUAGAGCCGAAAUGGAUACAAAACAAGAAGAAAACAUAGAAAAAACAUAGGCAAGCGAUGAGUGUAUUCUUUUUAGGAACUCUUAACAGCACAAGUUAUAGUCCUAAGACUGAAUAGAUAGCUGAUGACUUGUUGCACGUUCACAAAUGUAUGUAGUGGCGUAUGUAUGUUGGUAUCAAGCGUGGGCUUGGAGUGAGAUAAUAAGCGACCCCACAUAGUUUUUUUUUUUUUUUUUUUUUGGCUGAAAAAAGAGAAAGGGGGGGGGUGAGGAGAACCUCACCGCGUGGCAACCCCCACUGGGCCUCCUCCCCGUUAAGGAGUAUUCGAUGCAGAUAGAAUAUUUUUUACUCAUAUCCUCCCCACUCGUGGCAGAGCUCCACCAGCAUGGCAGCCCUAUCUCCGUGUGAGUAUAUCACACCAGCGCCACCUAAGUAACGGUACACCAGAUAGCGACUUCAUCGAGCAAACCAGACAGAGGGCAUCCGGCCCUCACAUUUAAUCGACGCCCGCAUGUUUCAAAUCUGGGACCCUUCGGUGAAGUCAAAGCCUCAUUCCCACUGUGCUAGCACCUCGGUGGUACCCCACAUAGGUUUUAAGAAGCAAAAAAAGACCGGCUAGCGGCCACUUAGGUCUCAUCAACAUUUCUUUCCUAAUUAGUACUAUAAUACUUGAAUUCGCAGAGAAGAUGGAGAAUUUAGGGCAUGAAUUAGGUUUUUAGGCAUGCAGGCUGGCACUGAUCUAGGUAAUAUAUGUCAAUGCCUCGUGUAUCAAAUAAAUGUUUGGAUCUAUGGCGGGGAUGUACAUUGGGCUGGCCAAGCCAUGGUAACAGAUUAAGGUCAGGUUAAAUUUGGGAUUAGAAAAGAUGGACCAAGUUGAUUGUCACUUUUUCACUAAACAGAGUUGGGUUGUUUGUUUACAAGUCUAAAAGCAUUUCGCUCGACUAUUUAAACAAGUAAUUCAGCUGUAUCUGCCUUUAUAGGUAAUUCGGUUGUAUCUCUACUAUUUAAACAAGAGAAUUUUUUGUUCCCUCCUGCAUAACUUGAUUGCCUUUUUAAAAUGAUUGGACAUUUUAGAGUUUUAUCAAAGGUGGAACAAGUUCUGAAGAGAGCUGGGGAAUUCACAUGUGACUAUCCUUAAGGUAAGAGAGUCUAUGAUCUUUGAUCGGCAUCUUGCGUAGGUUAUUAUGUUUAAUUAGAGUCUUGAUGCAUCUUUUUCUUUUUGGUUUUACUUUUUGAGAGAGAGAAAGGAUCCAUUAGAGCCCAAAUACAUUAAAACAUAUCCUCUCAAAGUGAAGAAGAGGGGUAGAGAUAAAAGAAAGAAAAUAAAAAGAAAAAUUACAGAAGCAGCAGGAUAGCACUAAGAAGUGUUAAUAGACGGAAAGAUUCAGAUUAGAGAUUCUCUGCAAAAGAAAAAGAUCUAAUAUAGAGAGGACAAAUUAAUUCAUCACGAUUCUUCUAGAAAAUAAAUCCGCCCCAAUCCUUUAAGAAGACAUAUACUUUGUCAAGGAGAGCAUGUUGCCGCUAAGUUUGUUUAUAGAAGACUUCCCUCCAACCAAAUGCACGAAAUUAUAGAAGACGUAUUAGCACCCAAAUUAGAAGUUAAAUCCUGCGAUAAGUUUUUGGUGAAAGCACAGUUAAACAUUAUAUAAUCACUUUUCUCCUCUUCUAGCACACGAAACAGCGAACCGCGGACCAAUCCAUCAAAAAUAAAUUUGUUCUUAGCUGCAAGACAUGCGAAAAUCAACACUUUGGCUGGGAGCUUUCACAGAGACUUUGUCAAAUAAGACAUCGCCCCCCAUAGUUAAAGAAUAUUGUAUAGGUCGCACUCAUGCAGGUGUUGUGUGAGGCACCGUUGUAUCAAAAAAUGCUCUUUGUCGUAAAUGUCCCCCGACUUUUCCAUUUCCAUUUGAUAAAAUCUUGUCCACUCAUCUAGCUAGUAUCUUGAAGGACCUCCCCAAGCUUCGAUCGAUGGCGUAUAUCUUGUUCACAGCAGGAUGGGGCCUACCGCCGUGAUAUCAUGGCUAUCCAUGCUUCCAUAUGCAUGCAUCAAAUAUGCCCACUACUAGUAUAUGCACAAUUAGCAAAGAUCGUAGCACAGCAGAAUUCAAAAAGAAUUUUUGAAUUCCCUAUAAUAUUAUAAGAAUACACAUUUGAUGACACAGUUUUCCUAAUAAAAUCAAGAAGAUGAGAAUUAUUUGAACAAUCUUGUAUCACCUGGAUUUUUCGUGGACUCAUAUUUAACCUGCAUUUGAUCAGUCGUUGUAAUUGUGCACUGUUGAACUCUUAGAUUUUGGAUGGUGGACCUGGCCUGAGAGCCUACACUGACGGAGGAACUUUGAUGCCACGUUUUAAAACGCGUUCCUACCAACAAGAGGAAAACAUACACCUCUGAAGUGAUACCUUUUCAAAGCUGGGGUUCAGUGACCUCAGCUAGAUUUCCUAGUUUUCUGGUCAUGGGAGUGUUUUUUCUUGCCCUCUUUUGCGGGUGUCGAUGAUCAACAUUAGAAACUGCUGGGCCAAAGUUCUUGGAGGUCUAUUGGUCAUCCUUUCAGCAUCAAGGAUUGUCUUAUUGGAUUCUUUUCCACACAAGACUAAAUAAAAAACAUCAAAUGAUGACCUCCACAUAGUUUUGCAAAGAUACCAAGGUUCUACAAGUUGGAAAUUUAGCAGCACAUAAUUAAUACUUGAGUCAUAUUCUCAAAUAGUUGUAGGUUUACUUGGUGAAACACGUGGUAAGACAAUAUCUUUUACCUAACCAAAUCUUUUCCAUUCUUAAUAUUUUAUUUGGAACCAGGAUCUGAGUUACCUUGUGGAAUAGCCAUAGCUUUACUUAGUGAAACGCCGUGUAAAACUAGUUUUUACCUAACCAAAUCUUUUCCAUUCUUAAUAUUUUAUUUGGAACUAGGAUCUGAGUUAUGUUGCGGAAUGGCUAUAGGUUUACUCGGUGAAGCAAUCUGUAAGAAAUUAUUUUUUACCUAAUCAAAUAUUUUCCAUUCUCAAUAUUUUAUUUGGAAUUAGGAUCCUCUACGGCGCACACUUUGCACUGCAAAGUAUUAUGUAGUGCUUGAUAGCUGCCAUCAGAAGAUUACAAUUAUAAAAGACAGACAAAGUUGGUAUGUCUAGAAAAAGCAAAAUAUAUCGUAUAUUAGUAAUCCGUAGCUAUAACCACAUCCGAUAAACAUAGUGAAAUCCUAGGUACAAAUCUAUAGGGAUGGAUAUUCCAGCCUCACAUAAUUUCGAGGUAUAGUGUGUACAUACAUGUAUUCGGAUCUCGCCUCACCUAUUUCUGAGCUAGUUGACAUCUAUCGAAAUGUUUCUACUUCAAAUCUAUAAGCGUAUUGAUCUAAAAUCCAUACCAAAUCUAUCAUAAAUUAUAGCCGCACGCGCUGGUUGCAACUCUGAUCCAAAAUCGACAUGUUGGAGACGGCCACGGUGAAGCUGCAGUUCAUCAUCACAUCCGCAUGGCGUUUGAUGAUCAGAAAAACCGUCGCCCUUCCGCCGACUUUGGUCGACGUGGUCAAGUCCAGCUUCCCGGCGGCCAGAUCGCCGAUCAGAUCCAGCGGAUCGGCCAGAAGCUGGUUGGCUAUCACGUCGACCGUCACCUUGAUCGGGAACGUCUUGUGGGCCCCCGCCGUCCCCGGGGGUCCAUAGCCCACCCCCAUCACCCGCUCCCGGUAGUAGACAUCGGUGGUGCUCUUCCCGAACCGGAAGGAGGCGGCGUUUGGGUUCUUGACGGAGGCGUCGGCGACCACCGUCAUGUUGAGGGAGACUGGGGAGGUGAGGGAGGAGCCGGUCUUGAAUUUGAGGUUUUUGAUGGAGAUGGAGUUCAUGGUUAUGACUGGUUCCUUGACCUUGUAGACGGUGAGGACGAUGAUAACGAGGACGAUGACGAUGACGGCGACGAGGGCGGUGCAGGAGCCGCAGCAGAUGAGGCAGCGACGGCGGCGGGAGGAGGGCCGACGGGUACUCGUGGUGGUGGGAUCCUCCUCAUCGCUCGUGGGGCGGUCGGCGGCGGCGGUGGCGAGGGGGGUGAUGUGGUCGCGGUCGGCGGACAUGGCGGCGGCGGGCGGUGGCGAAUGUUGGAAGGAACGGUGCGGUUUACUCGGUUUGAUGGGCUUUAUAGUGCUUGCGGAUUCGGGCUUUCGUUUUUUCCAUGGAGAAAAUGAUUUAAUAAUGGGUCGUACGAGUGCGGUUGGACCCGGCGGAGGUGACGGCUAAUGACGCUGCUGCGACCGCUAACGUCGUAGACUGGGAGUUAGCUACCGAGAAAUCUAGUCAAGUGAAAAAAUAAUCAUGCAUGUUGUACUUUAAGAUACACGCCAGAAAGAUGAUACCUAUGAGGCUCGUCACAGUUACAUGAGGUGUGCUCUUGACUUUUAUAACAUUUGUUGCCCAAACAGUUAAAAGAUGAUACCAAUGAGACUCGUCGCAGUUACAAAGGGCGUGCUCUUGACUUUUAUAACAUUUGUUGCCCAAACAGCAAAAUGAUCGUUCUCCAAAUUACUAAAAAAGAAUUGAAUCAAAACUUAUUAUUUAAGUGAAUAACCUAUUUUGGUUUGUGAAAUACACGAGGAUGAAAAUUUAAUAGGAGAAAUUAUAAAAAAAUUUCUACUUUCAUGACAAUAGUUAUAGUCUUUGGUUUGGAUGUUUGUAUAUAUAUUUGCUAACACCAUUAGCACACCAUUAUAAAAGAAAAUUCUUAACAAAAAUACCUUAUUUAAUAUCUUAUCAUCCUAGGAUUUUCCUCCUCCUCCGAUCUUUUUCAGCCUCCAAUGACUUUCUUCUGAGACUCUUCUUCCGAUCGUGUGGAGUCCUUCCAAGCGGGAAGAAGAACAUAUAUAUUUUGUAAUGCUCUUGGAUGGUUGUUAUGUCGCUUAAAUUUAUUUUGAUUAUUUCUGAAAUUUUUUCUAAUAUGGUUUUGGGAUUUCAUUUAAAGUUAAUAGUUUGACUAACUUGCUAUAAUUAAUAGCAUGAUUCAUACACACAUAUGUAUGUGUUUGAUCGCAAUUUUAAUUACUUAAUGAGAACUUUUUGAUACUUAUCAAUUUAACAACUUCAAAACUUCAUUUAUUUGUUAUUUAUUUAUAUUCACUACGUGUUGACAAAUUAUUUUCUUUUUUGGUUCCUCUGCCAUUUGAAAGAGAAGCCCGCUCUUGCGUACGCUAGGACUUACAUAUAUUGCCAAUAUUUCUUUUAUAAAAAAAAUAACUCGAACUAUUUAUGUUGCAUGAUAUGGGCGUCUAAGGCUCCAUGGAGAAGAUAUUAAGGGCAUAUUUGUUCUAUGGUAACUUUAUACUAUGAUGUAAUGAUCACAUGCCACCACUCUAUUAAAAAGAGAUAAACGAUAGGACAAUUUUGAAACAUUUUAGAGAUAUGAAGGGUAACUUUGAAAAUUUUUAAAGAUGAAGAGGUAUGCAUAAGAAUUGUCCAAACUUGAUAAGAUAAAUUGUAAUUUUCCUUUAGACUAUUGUGCGUAUGGUAAAAGGGCAAAAUCAUCCACCCUGCGGUGGAUGCAAAUGAAAAUAAUCCCCUAAAAUCGAUGAUUUUGAUGGAAGUGGAAUUAUGAGAGAAUUUUUUUCAUAAUUUUUAUUUUAAUUUUCUAUGCUAGAGCAUUCAAUUGGUUCUCCAGAAUUUUGAUUCUCAAUGUACUUAUUCGAAUCUUUAGUACUUAUUUGAAUCUUUCUUGUACUGAUAAUAUAUAUGCCAGAAGGCAAUGAAAUUUCCACACCUGAUGGCAAGAAACAAAGAGGCGGUAGAUUCAAACUCACCAUAUUUUGUGAUCAGAUCAUAAUAUAAUAUAGUAUCAUGCCAGUAAAUCCUUACAUUACCAUCUUAUACACUUACGAUUUUAAGAACAUAUACUUUGGGCAUUCAGGGUUGCUCAUUUCUAUAAAAAAAUGUAAUCAAGUGGCUGACUAGUUGGCUCAUUUGUAAGAGCUGAUGCCUUCGGUACUUCUUAGUUCAGAUCUUGUUCCCAACUGAUCAACAAAGGCCUUUAGUUUUAGACACAUCCGAGUUGCACCAAAUUGCACCAGAGAUCAUGUCAGGCCAUGAAUGAACUUUGCUAUUAGGUAGCUUUUUAAAACAAAUUGCACUGCAUACAUUCAUAAUCGAACAGCUUUUCUCUUGUUUAAUAACAAUUACAUAUAGAAGUAUCUUGUAAGCUAUUCUUGUUUUCUUGUUGCAGCCAUUUUGCCGCAAAGUAAAUCUUCCGGUGGGCCUGCACGCAAGGCAGAGUUUCGGCAAUUGGAAUUGCUGAGAAUCCACUUCUAGCAUCCCGUUAUGACCAUUUUUAAUCUUUUCAGUUUCCAGGUACUUGCAAAAUCUAUCUUUCUUUUUCAAAAGCAACCACUGAAGAAAUAAAAAAGAAAAACUUCUUUCUUUGCUGAAUUCUCCUGCAAUAUAAAUUUGCAUGGAAUAGAGACGAGAAAUUUUACAAGUGCAACUAUUUUUUUGGUUCGUCAGUGUCUGACAGGAUUUGUAGCAAUGGCAAGUUGGACGAUACCAAGUCCUAGCUGGUAGAUUAGCGUCGCACCUUGCGAAUUGCGAUAGAUAUGAUUAAUGGGGAAUCUAACUAAGUUUGUCGAAACAAACAUGAAGCUCGAGUAUAAGAUAAAUAAAUCUUAGAGCCAUCUAUCUGCAUAAAUUUCAACAGAACAUUCCCAACACAGCUUGUGUCAGCACUAAUGAAAUAGGGGUCUGCGACGAAGUGGUGAAAAGAGUUAAUAUGCGGUACUUUCGAUUUUGGAUUUGUGCAUGCAAUCAGGAUUCAUGUUUCGACCAAUGCCUCGUUCUGCAUGGGCCGUCGGACGGCAGCAGGAAGCUGAGGGAGAGGAUGCUGGCCGCCAAGGUGGCGGCCAAGGCUCGUUGCAGAAGGCAAUGAUGGAGUUGGUGAACGAGUGGGAGAGAAAAGAGUGGAUUCACUGAUGUUGUAGAAGAUUCGGUGCUAUAUAUACGGGGGAGUUUGGUUUCAUUUUAGUCACUCUUGCUAUGGAUUGAUCUUUUUUUGAGUAACUUGUAAUUGAUUGAUCCUUGCGUGCGCUUUCUGCUUGUCUUGUGAACCGUUAUGAAUGAGAUGACGUUUUGUGUUUGCAUUGCUAUGAAGUAAAUAGAUUCUUUUGUGUUAUUUCCUUCGAAAUCUUUUCUUUGAUCUGGAUGGAUUUAGGUAGGAGAGCCCAAAACGUCAUCUUUUAUCUGAAGAGAGAGCACAAAACGCCAAAAGGGGUUCCACUUCGUUUUUUUUUUAGUCAAAGAAAAGAAACCUCUUUCAACUUUCCUUCGGGCCCAAGAAAUAUAUGCUCCUCCACCAAGAGCUUGCUUUCUGGAGUCUCCGAGUUCCUUUAUGGACAAGUGUAAGAUUCAAAUCUUUGUGAUACCAUUUCCAUUAUCUUCCUAAUCACGGAGGCGUUUUAAAAGUGUAUUUUUUUUCUUAAAACCCCUUCCCCUUUAGGAUAAGAUCAAAAUGUGGAUUUAACCUUCCAAUUUGAAGAGCAAAACUACAAGGACUGAGCUUUACUUGUAGCUCCAUUCAUUAUGACUGGCUCACUUAAAUCUUACCCCCUUCUGCAGGAAAAAGACCAUUGCGUCGAAAAACUGGAAAUAUUUUCUCUCAGAUACAGAUAUAUUUUCCCAGCAAAACAAUGCUUGCAUUCGCAGCGAAUACUAGAGACCCAGUUUUGCUAGCAUAUUCAUCGAUUUCAUAAUCAUACAAAACCUUUUCCAAUCAAAUGUGGGAUCAGCAUAGAGAAAGAAAUCUAAUCCCACAAUGAAAGAAUCAAAGAGAUUUCAUGGCCAGCCAUCAACUGGACAACCCUCUGAAAAUUAAUACCGGAUACUCACCCAAGAAAAACAUAGACAAAAGAAGAGGCCUGUCUGUAAAACAAUCUGCUAAAGCAGAGAGAAAGAGAGAGAUAGAGGACGGACACCGCACUAUAUAUGGCAAAUGUAAAAGACAAGUACAGCAUCACAAAUAACAAUUUGGCCCACAAAAUUGCCCAAUUAAUUCACAGAGCCCUCCAACCAACCCAUUCAAGCUAAGAAUUGGAGGCACAUUUCUCUCCUCCAGUCAAACCAUUUGUAAGGCUACAUCUCUAUCCUGUCACCUGCUGAGAAGCUCAACCCAGACCCCAUCUAUGUAUUUCACAGCCUCUCAACAAGCAGCUCUGGCAUUGACUGUGUAUGUUAAAGAGUAGUUUACAAUCACACUCUCUUGCUUCUUCCCCUGUUCCAGUCUUUAAUAUAAGACCCUCGAAAGGUAACUGAUGAUGCCACUGUCGCUUUCCUAAGCUUCUGCCGAUUGUCCCAGCCCUUUUCGCCUUGAAUGGGGGUUGGCAUCAGAGAUGAAGGCCUGGUGGCAUAGCUAUGCAAUGGCCUUGUGCUGAUGGUGGGAUCUCUUUCCAGUUUGCUGGGAGAUGUAACACCUUCCAAAGGAACAGACCAUCUUACAGAUCCUCUGCCAGUAUUAUUCAUGUGGGUGAGAUCAUUUUUAUUUUCACUCAUCAUCUUAUGUUUCGCAGAUGGAAGGCCUGGACUUCCAACUGGAUCAUGAUGCCUACCCAUGAGAAAUGAAUUCUCUGUUUUAUCCAUGGAAGAUGUAGACUUGCGUGCCUUCAUGGGCUUCUGAGAAGGCGUCUUGGGCCAUUUCAUCCCCCCACUGUUGUGGCUUCGAAUCUUGAGGACAUUGGAACGGCGUCCCAUUUCACAUAGUAUUUCAGCAGCAAGCAGUACCCUCGGUGAGUAGCCUAUUUAAUUGACAAAUAUAUUGUAGAGGUCAGAAUGGGUGAGGAGAAUUGCCACAACAGAGUAAAAAUAAUUUCGUCAGAGAAACAAAGGGAAAAAAGGAUUCUGGACGGAAAAGAUAGCAGAUAAGAGUAGCAUAUGCUGCACUCCUGAUAGGAAAAGAAAAGAAGCACAGAAGAAAAGAAGCAAAUAAUUUCAAUUAGCUAUAAGCCUAAAACAAUACAUUCAUGCAUGCAUUCAUAAAGGCCAUAAAUAUCAAGGGGUCCAAUUAUAAAACUCGAGCUAUAAAUCAUCAAGCUUGAUCCAGAAGAUGACUAUUUUUUAUCACCAGAGGUUAGACCUUUUUUACAAUAGGUUCUAGAGAUGGGACAGGUCUUGAAUAUUUUAAUUGAAUAUAUUUCACAAUUGUCUGAGUGGAGUCAGUCUAUAGAAUUUCGAGAUGAGCUCACCUCAAUCAAAAUUCAAGGUUUGUAUGACAUUGAUUUACAAAAGAAUUCUUAUCAAGGAUGCAAUAAAACAAGUGGAACCAACAAGAACUUGGCCCAAAAUUUUCUUUUCAACUUUACUUCCGCCAAAGUUGUUUUGGUGGCCGUGGCCAGAUAUUUCUGAUAAAUAGAUCCAAACCAAAUCUGUCCAUACAUUUGCUCUGGUGCCCUCAAAGUAGGCAGUUCGAUGGAGCUAAUUCACCUGGCAAACAUAAACCAUUUUGUACUAUUUAUUGUGUAUAUUCCAGUCUUCUAUAAAAGAAUGCAAAAAAAAUCUGGAAUUUGCUCCGCCGACUGUUAUUUCUCUCUCCUCUUAGCUGCUAAUCUCCAUGAAACAAACUUGGUUGUUCUUGUGGACUCUCACGCUACAUCACAAGAUCUAAAUGUCACUGCUCCUGAACUCCCCUGCUUAGUGCCACAUUAAUUUUGAAUAAAAAAACAUAUGCCAUUAAGAUCGUACAUUUCAAAGGUAUAUUGACCUGACUAUAGGUAGACCUUGUAGCAUGUGAAAGUAUAAAAUAACUAUACAUCAGGUGAUCAUGUACUGAAUCCACAAAAUAGCAACCUUUCUCUACAUAUGUAAAUGUUGUGGGCCAUGAAAAGCCCUCAAAGCUAUUCUUAACUCCUAACUAUGAUGCUUCCUAUUGUGAGCUACUAUCUAUAGAAUUAGUAAAAGGGAUCAAAACAACACCAGACAUAUUCAAGGUACAUGUAUUUUUUAGCUUAAGCAAGUGUUUUUAGACUCAUCCUUCCCAAGGAAAAAAAAAUGGCGAUGGCCAUUCCUUUAUGUGUAUGUUUGUUUAAAAUCAGAAUGUUACCAGCUAGAAGGAAGAAGACAAUAUGAAGGAAAUCCACAUAAACAUUAGAACCACCCAAAGCUCCAAAAGCUAUGGAUGGAGUCUGCCAUCUCAUUGGCUAUCCUUUUGAAACUCAACCAAGGGGUUUUUGUUGAAAAUCAGUAUUCUACCAGCUAAAAGAAGAAGAUGAUAAGAAGGAAAACCACAUAAACAGCAGCACUACACAAAGCACCCAAAGGGAUUGCCCCUUAUCUCUAAUGAUGUCCUGAGCCAAACGAGCAAGGGUAGCCUCCUAGUCAGACACAAUUGUUGUGCCUGUAUCAUUCUAGAGAGAGGAGUAACUGUUGAUCACAAGAUACAAUAAAGCUCCUACCAUCGCUUAUUCAUGGUUGCGAAAACCCUCUUUAUCUUCUUUUAAUAUUUCUUUUUGAGUUAUCUAUUUUCUAUCAGAGUUUCAUCACCUCAAUCACCAGGCUUAUCUUCCUAAACCUAAUCAAAUGCAGUUUAGGUUUCUUCAUCACUUAAAUAGGCCUCAAACAGGAUGAACGAGUAACUGCAAGAUUUGCUUAAGAGGCAAAAAUUUGACCUCUGCUAUUUCUUUGCACAUUCCAUCUAUCAUCAUGUUGUCGGAUGCUUCAGCAUCUAUGAAAACUCCCUGGACAAUAAAUGGAUAUUUGGACUUCAUGAUCCAUUAUGCAAUUCUCCAUAAAGUCCUCAGCAUAUGACAAAGUAAGCAUUUUUGACUUCCAUUAGUCAUGUUUUAUGAAAUUCAAAUUCCAUACAGGAAAAACUGCUCCAGUUUAUAAUCAUGCAAAGGAUUCCAUAUAGCAUUGCUAUCACCUUUACAUUUUUGCUAAGCUUCUCAAUCCAUGCUUAAUAGAAUCAAAUAUACUAUUAAAAUUAUAAAAGAAACACAGAAAUACCUUAAGGAUCUACAACUAUCAAACAACAGCUGCAGUAAUAACUCAACUACAUAAUAAUCAAAUAACUUCUCGUGGUACCUUUUCCCCUCACCUCUGAUAUUAUAAAAAAAAUACAAUUGAUUCAUAAAUUAAAAUAUUCGAAAAUUAAACUUAUCAAGACAGCCCUAACACAAGAUUUCCUAAUACUAAAUACUCUAACUCAAAGUAAAUUUAGGAUUUCCAUCUCCUGUAUCAAUCAAAGAGCUCUAAAGUCUCAAAAAAUUAUUCUACCUUAGGAUCUUCUUUUAUGAAACCCCAAAAAAAAUAAUUCUUCAAGCGUUUCUAAAUGAAUACCAGGUGAUUUGCCUCAACAAAAAGAAGGAUCAUAUAUUGAUUAACCUUUCUGAGAGAGUGAUCAGUAAUUCUCCAUGUAUGAGCAGACAUAAACUCCCAGUAAUAUUUCAGGUACUCUCAUAACAUGAGAUAAUUGCCACAUUCAACCAUGUAAUCUGGAACUACCUGACAUGUACAUGGUAGUGCGUGCAUGCAUGCAUGCACAGAUGAUAGAGGCAUGCAUAGAAGUGGGCUUCUAGCGCAAACCAAUGUUUGUAAUGCUUUUUUUUUCCGUCUUGCAAUGAAAUACACAAGGCACCUGUCUUAGAUACUCUUAAAACAUCCUCCAUGAAACAGAAGCGGGCAAAACUGCAUUGGUUGUCAGCUCUCUCUUUUAUGACCAGUAAAAAAAGUAUUUUAAAAGUAUAUACAAUGCAAAACUAAAAAAGACAUCUGAAAACAGAAAGCAUUCCAUCACAGAGCUAAAAUAUGUCAAAAUCAUUCCACAUUCCAUUAGAGGAAAAAGAAAUCACAUUCUAGAUGGACAGGAUUAACUUUCAAUAAACAUAAACUGUUUCCAUAAUGGCUUUGCAAAUCCUAUAUUUUCUGCAUAUACAGAUAGGAAAUCACAAUCCCCAUGUUUAAAUCACACAAAUCACAUAUAAAUUAUUUGUGCAUUUCAUUGAACCUAACAUUCAGGAACAACAAAUUGAAUUCUUACUUCAUGAAAACGCAUACAUCAAACUCCACAAUUAUGUAUUCUCUACAACAUAACUACUCAACAGAUAAUGAUGUGUCUUGAUGUACAAAUAUUUACUAGAACAAUCCAAAAGACAACAAUAAGCUGUUAUUUUUUCUUCUCACAUAUAGUAGGAUAAGUAUGAUGAAUGCCAUUUCCUAAUUUAUCAGCUUCAACUACGGCAUAAUGCUAAAAAUAAAAUACCAUUAAGCUUCGAGUAUGCAUGUAUAUACUAUGCUAGCAAAUUAUGUUCAAAGAUGAGAUGGAAAAUAUUAAAUCUGUCACUGGUAUCAACUUUUCUUUGGAAACAAAGAACCGAUAACCUGAGAAGCAAACAAGAUAUAUGCCUUUCAGGUAUGGCAUGGCUCCAGUAAUGCAUGUUGAAUUUUAGCAUAUUACCUGGUUUAGAUAUCUUUGGUGUAAGAAAAUACCGUGAACUCUGAUCACAUCCACCAGAAGUGCUUUUACAGGAGUAGCAAGAGCAAUUUUCUGAACAACCAUGUCUGCCCACUGUAUCCUGUGCUUUCUGGGUGACUUCAUUGUCCUCAAAUUGCAAAGUAGACUGUGAUGGAUCCGCUAAGUUCGGUUCAAGUCCUUUAAACCUCUGACAGACUUCAGAUUCAGAAGUUUUCAAGAACACACUAUCUUUAUAGUCAAAUUCCAGAUGGCUAUCUGAAGAUUUGACGUGCUCCUCCAUUAAAUUACACCUUUUAGAAAUAAAUGAAUCAGAAACACCAGAUUCUUUCUUCAAAACAACACUGUUCGAAAUAUGAGCUUCUGGAGAAAUUGGCAUAGUGCAUAAUGGCUUGACAGAUGUUGUCAGGGUGUUCACAUCUUGAAGAAGAUCAUCAAUCUUUUGCUGGAUUAUAGGAUCUUCAUUGUGGUUAAAUGACUUCAAUUCCAUUUCAGAGAAGCAACUCUGAUCAUCUCCAAAGGAAGUGGAAUUGCUUCCUAUUCUAACCCAUUUACCUUGGGAUGUGCUCUUUGUUGAAGCCACUUUACCAACAUCGACACUGGGUUUGCAAGCUCCAUUGUGGCAAAAAGACCAUUGAAAAGGUGGCAAGCUGGCAUGACAAAAAGUUGUCAUGUGCAUAGCAGACACCAAAAGAGCAUCCAAAUCCUGAGCUGGAGGAAAUGUUAACUGCUUUAAAAUGUCUUUAGGCUGGUAUAAAGUGGAGAGAUUCAAGUUCAACUGACCAGGAUCCUGGUGAGAAGUGUAAAUAAAUAAUUAAAAGAUGCUCUGCUUAUUUAAUAUUUAUAUUUAUAUGAGAAAAUAACACAAAUUGUAGACUUACCUUGUUACAAGGUACUGAUUCAUCAAUGCCCUUAUCCUUGUUAUCACAUUCAGACAAGUUCAGUGAAGCGCAAUUAGGUUUCAAGAGGUUUAUAACAGCUUUUCCAUUGCCACUGUUACCAACUGCACCCUGGAGUGGAAGGAUAGAGCAAGCCUUUCUAACUGAGGCUAAAAUAGUUUCAUCAACAUUGGGGGCUCUCUUUCCUUUUUCAGGACAUAAGUUAGAGUAUUUGUAACUACUGUCAAGAAGUUCAUUCAAUGACAGAUCAUCCAUAUACUUUGUAACAUCACGGAGAUCUGACUUGAGACCAUUUAUUCCUAAUUUGAAAUGGUAAGAUAUAAUUAUAAAUCUGUGUAAGUACAAAACUAAAUUGCUUAUGAAACCUAAUAAUCAAUAUAAGCAAAGACAAUCUUGCUAUUGCCUUGGUGAUUCUAGGAAGGUACCAACUGCAGCAAUAUUGAUUUGCCAGAUGUCUUGUUUUACCGGGGUUAAAUUCACAUCAUAAAUCCAUUAUUUCAUAUGCAAAAUCCUAAGUCGUUUCGUAGUAUAGAAUCCAAAGAAUCAAAAGACAACCAAUAUUAGGUUUGACUUCUGAAAGUAUAUGCAUGCGUAUAUGUCUCUCUCUCAGUGUGUGUGUGUGAGAGAGAGAAAGAGUCUAAAGAUUUUCUUUGAACAAAUAACCAAAAUUUUGAAAGAAAGAAAAAAAAAUAAUGGAGGUGGAAAAAGGCCAUCAAGGCAAAAUAUAUGGGAACCUAUAUUACACAUUGGGUUCAAAAAGAGAUGAAAGCAGCUUUGCCAAAGUCUAUCCAUGAAAUAAAAAAUUGUGAUAACAUAAUAUGAUUAAAGGAAUAUCAUGACAGCCAGCUAUGAAUAAAUGUACAAUAGAAACUGGAUCAACUACCAUAGUCAAACUUAUGUGACACACUAUGGAGUCAACAGAAGAUCAUAUAAGAGCAACAGCUAUAAAGGGCACAGUUAAUUGGGUAUUAUUAAGAGUACAUGUAUAUGUGUGUUUACAUACAUAUAUGCAUAGUGUAUGUGUGUGUGCACAUACAUAUAUACAUAUAUAUAGUUAGACUCAAGGUAUGCCACACCGUACCGAAAGGGACGGUUUGGGAUGUACCGUACCGUACUAGUAAAUGGUGCAAGGGGCGUAUCGACACUUGGUGUGCAAAAACAGCUCCCAUACCGACACAAUAAUAGGGUGGCACCGGUGAGAAGCCCAGUGCCGAGAUGGUGUACCUUGGCUGGACUACACAUCUUGCACUAACUCCUCAAAAAAGGAGUUAACAAUUUUAAAAUUAAACAUAGGUGAUCCAAUUUGAAGAUUCAAACCGUUGAAUAUGCUCUACACUAUAAAAAAUGAUUGUAAACUAAAAUUCAUAUAUAUUUGGUGGUUUCUAAUGCAUGCAUCAAGUUAGUACAAAAAUGAAUGAUAGAAAUUACACUAUUGUGAUAAAAUACAUAACAGGGCACAUGAAUUGAAACUCUACAUUAUGGAUCAUGAUCUACACAUCUUAAAACAUGGAUAGAUUUAAAUUCACUGGGUUUUGAUAAUUAGGUCAUAGCAAGCAUAGUAUUAUGCUAAUAAAGUUAUCCAUCUAACACCCACUUGACUAGGUUAGAAAACACCAAACUCAUACAUUUUGGUUUCUAGGAAUUUUUAUAGUAUAAAUCAAGAAAAGCGAAACCAUCCCGAAUUGCCUGCUUUGAGGCAUACUGAGCCUUGCGGCGGUGGACUAGGAUGGUUCUGGCAAUGAAAUUGAGAAAUGGGUGAAGGAGGGGGAGAGGGAGAAGGAAGGAGAGGAAAAGAGAGGGGGUGGAGGGGAGAGGGAAGAAGAGAGAGGGAGGGUGGUGGACGGCCGGUGGAGGGCCACGGAGGACAGAGGAGCCGCGUAAGGGGUGGAGAAGGGACUCAACCUCCGGUUCUCCUGUUUCAUUUGAAACAAGGGUCCCAGAGGGGGGACCUUUUUAUUUUCAAAAAAUUUAAAUAAAAUCAGCAACCUCCUUUGCCCCUCCGCGCGGCUCCCCAGCCCUUAUUUGGACAUUUGCCACUUUCCUCUCUANNNNNNNNNNCCUCUCCUUCUCCUCCCUCCUCCCCCCUCCUCUCUCUCUCUCUCUUUCUCUCCUGUUGUCCCUCUCCCCUACCCUCUUUUCCAUGUCAGGGCACACUCCACCGGUCUUCUCCCUCUAUCUCCCUCCCUUCAUCCCUCUCCCUCUAUCUCUUUCCCCUUUCUCUCUCUUUUCCCCUCCCAUUCUCCCUCUCCCCCCCCUCCCCUAAUGUGUUGGUACAAACCCGGCAUAGAAUGUCACGAGAGGGUACCGAAGCAUGCCACCAAGCAACUUAUCUGAACCCUGGUGCCGGCAUAGCGAUCCUUAGUAUAGAUCAUAUUCAACUCUUUAGAUCUUGAAUGUGGAGAGUCCAUCAUAUAUAUACAUGCAAACAUACAUACAUACAUAUAUACAUAUGCAUAUAUAUGUAUAUACUGCAACUAUCAAUAUGAAGGAGCAACGGGUGUCGUGGAUACCACAAGACAAGCAAGUUCCUAGAAAAAAAAACUUCUCGUUGAUGAUAAGAGCCAUGCCAUGGCAUAAGCAAUUUGCAGAGGGUGUAGGGUUAAAGAUGAGUCGAGAAUAUGGAUGACAGCAAAUUGAUAUGAUGAGGGAAAGUUUUGGAGGAUCCAGCCAAAUACCGAUAAAAUUAGAAAUCAGAAUAUGCUAUACGAUUUUCGUGGAGACAACUCACAACUUAGCAAAAUUACAAGUAAUAUCCGACUGAUAUAAUUUGUGUGAUGAUAGAUUAUCAUACAAAAGAAGGAUUGCAUGGAUGGCAUACAGAGAUGCUUCUGAGAGUUGUGUGAUCAUUGAAUGCCUGAGGUUACAAGGGAAAUUUAUUACUUUUUAAAAAAGGGUCAAAAAUGAGUACUUAACAAGAAGAAAGAUUUGUAACGGUGUAGGAUAAAGUGGAAAGAAUGGAAUGAGUUGAUAUCACCACGUGCUGGACAAUGAGCACAUUUGGAUUUCGCCUUAAGCAAGGAAAGUGGGAAAAGACCAUAAUAAUGUUAGUAGUACACUAAUAGGAGCUAAAUCUCAAUAUCAUGAAAAUCAGGGUCGGCAGAACCAUCCCAAACUGGGUAGUUCCAUCGUACCGAGUCGUCCUGCCGGCGGACCGGGACGGUUCUAACAACGGAAAUGAAAUCCAUCGCUGGAGGGGGAGAUGGAGAAGAACAAAGAGAAAAGAGAGAGCGAGUAGGGGAGGAGGGAGAUGGAGAGGAAGGAAGAGAGAGAGAAAGGUGGAGGUCGGCCGAUAGAGGGCCGGCGGAGGCCGGCGAGUUGAGCGGAGGCUGGCGAGUCGUGCAGAGGCCGGCGAGCCAAGCUCCGCGGCCGGUUCCUUUGUUUCGUUCGAAACAGGGGACCCAACUGUGGAGCCCUCCUCCGCCUCCCCUGCUCAAGUCGCCGACCUCCGUCGACCCUCCACCGGCCUCCGCCACCCUCCUUCUCUCUCUUUUUCUCGCUUCCGUUCACCCUCGCCCAUGCCUUCUCUAAUGUGUCAGUACAGGGCCGGCACGGAAUACGAUCACUGUACCACCGGGCAACCAGUCUGGGCCCCAGUUCCAGCACAGCAGACCCUAGUGACAACAUAUUUAGAAACACAACCAUAUUUGGAAAAACAUGGGGAUACACUUGUCAGGUCAUAGCAAAAAGAUAAUGAAUAUUGCAGUUCUUAAAAUAUUUAGUAGCAGAACUUAUAUUGAUCAUCCGUUUAUUCAACAUGUUAUAUUCAAUACCCGGUAAGUUUCCUUAUCACUGAAGACUAACAUUACGUGAAUGCGAUGAAGGGCAAGAGGGUGAUAUCAAGAGACAAAAUAAAGCAAUGGUCAUAAUAUAUGAUCAAGAUUAGGUCAGCCAAUGGGUUGUCCUAGCCCGACAUUGUGACCCUGAAACAACCAAACUCGAUCUCAAGUUUUAUGGACGUGGGCCAGGCUCGGCCUCAAAAUGAGGCUUGAUCAAUUUUUGGUCAGGGCCUGCACCGAAGAUAAUGUUAAAAAUUAUAUAUGGGCUGGUUCUGAGCCUGACCCAGCUUGAAAGCAUAUAUUGAGUUGGGUCAAGCUUGGGCCUCAUACUUUCAGGCCAGAUCCGGGCUGAGCUGAGCUUGGUGCGAGCCUAGGGUUCAAACCUUCGGCUUGCUUCGGGCCUAGGCCCCGUUGACACCCUUAUAAAAUAAAACAAAGAGCAAAGUAAUUUCUUCAGCAAAAUGAGAUUUACAUCAGAACAACUAAAACUCUUUGAAGCCCACCACAGGCUACAAACAACUUUUUUCAAGAAAGGAAACUUGGAGAUUAAAAAAAAAAUCAUCUUUAAAAGAUGUGCAAGAAAUUGUUUGCCUGCUUAUCAAUUAUUAAAAGUAAAGCAAUUCAACCACUAGAUGCAUCCAGAAAUAAACAUAUCUUCACUCUUAAAUUUUAAAGACUUAAAUGAUUUUGCUUCCUUCCAUGUGAAAAAGCCCUUGUUAUCAAGACAAAUAACGUACAGAAGUACAUGUCCAAAAGAACCAUAUGAGCCACCAAAUUGAAUAGCUUUUCCAGAAGGUUCUCUGGAAGAAAAUUAUUUAAUUUAUACACACACACACAUAUAUACAUGUAUGCAUGCAUGUGAGUGGGCCUUUCUGUAUAGAUGCAUGCAUGCAAGCAUGCACAAGUAGACACAUGCACAUGCACAUGCACGUGCACAUGCUAAUGGAAAAGGAAAACAUACAUAAAAGAAACAUCAGAAAAAAGUUAUUCGGCAUAUUUAUUGCAUACCAAGAAUGUUGUUUCCUCCAGAAGCCGAAUCACAGUUGGUUAACCCAGCCUUUGUUGUAAAAUAAUCAUAUUUACUUUUCAAACCGCCUCUAAAAUUCUUUUUAUCCAUUUUCUUUCCAUCAUGACCACGCUUCUGCUUGACCAUCCGGGAUUUAUCUGCAUAGUCAAAUGAAAAAUCAAGAUUCAACACUGUCAGCCAUUACAAACAUCAUCCUGUUCUUUAGACUAUCUAAUAAUGCUAAGAAAUGCAAAGGCAUACACCAUAAGGAAAUUAAAACCAAAAGUGGUGUCCUUUUUACCAGUGGAAGUGCAUCGCAUGCUGUCAGAUCCAAUUGUCCUCGAUAUAUUAUUCUGGUCAUCAACUCCAGAAUUUGUCACAGAAUUUUCAGGUUGAUCUAUUCUUGGUCGCUUAGACCCAGGAAAAGUAUUCAACUUUUUUACAGAUUUCUUGUUCAAUGAUCUGCCCUCAUACUUGGGUAGUGAUAGGACAGACACAUCUGCCUCCCCAAGGUGAUGCCUUUUACCAUUACCUUCACAUUUGGAACUGGGAGGCAUAUUUUCAUGCAUACAAAGUUCCGAGUCAAGCUUUUUGUUUCUGGAAACUGAACUGAAUUCCGAAAUUGGAUGUUGAAGUUUGGCAUCUGGCAUGCAUAUAAUGUGUUCCAAAUCAGUUAACAAGAACAUAAUACAUUCUUGUGCUUAAAAUACAAAAUAUGAGGAUAUGGUUAUCCACUUAUCCCAGUAUCAAGACUUAUACAAUCAGAAAAGAAGAUUUGCGAAAUAAAAGCAGUAGAAACAUCAGACACUCAUGUUUAGACAACUGCCAGAAAAAAAUUAAAAAAAAUGGCCUUGAGCAUCAAUAACUUAUCGCAUACCAAUACUUUCUAACCUAAAUAUAGAUACCAAGAUUCAAACAAACAAAAAGUAGAACCUUUAGUUAUAUACACAGAUAGCAAUGCAAAAGUACAUAUGUUGAAAGUAUAUCUUCUGGAUAUCUGGAGCACAAGAGCAUGUAAAGAUACUUGAAAAGUUGCACAAUUAUGAUUAUUGAAUAUCAGUCAUAAUUCUUCAGAAUCCUGCUUGGUAGGUCGUUAGGAAGAAAAUCUGAAACUAUAUAGCUUGAUAAACUUCAUUACUGUAUGAUGAUAAUGCUCAGAAUAAAAAUGUAAAACAAAAGAAAAGGAAAGCAUAUGAACAACAAAAGCGAUGAGACAAGGAUUGAAAUGAGAAAAGAUGUCAUCUAACCAAGUGACCAUUUUUCUUUUUUCCCCCCACUCCCCUGGACUUAUAGAUGUGAAGUAAAAUGAAGGGCCAAGCACGUAGACAUGUAUAAAUAUAAGUCUGUACAAACAUGCAUAUACUGCGUACAAAUAUGAUAAUAACAGAUACCACCACAAGAACCAUGAGGAAAUAGCAAGGGACCAAUGCCAAAGUAGCCGUUACGCAGCAGAUCUGACAGAAAGUUUUCUUUCAGUCAAACUGACAACAUGACAUGAAUACCACUACCCUUUGGCUUACAAGACGCCACUCCAUGGAUUUCCAAGAAAUUCCACCAGAAGUAGUAGAUCCCUAACUAAGAAAUUACACCCUGUUCUCCAGAACCAAAAACUAACAACAAACAAAAGCAAGAAGAGAUGAACCCCAUGGCCUUCCAAUAAUUUCCACCAGAAGAUUGUAAAAUCAAUCUCUAACUAAGUAAUCACACCCAGUUUUCUGGACUCAAAACAACAUACAUAAAAAGCAAGAAUAUGUGAACCCCUCAAUUCCUGACAACCAAAACCCUAGCCUUGAGGAACAACAUUAUUACAUGGGUACAGCAUCCAUUUAUCAAGACACCUAAAAUGCGACCUACCGUCCACCCAUAUAUCCAUCAACCCCUCCAAGAAGCAACAGAUCAGGAAAAAUGACCCUCGAUCCAUGUAAAAAAUCGAAUAUUCAUCCCUUAUAAGGUCUAAAAAUCCAAUAUUUAUUCCGUCUAAGGUGUUAAAAUCGAAUCUUUAUCCCAUCAAAGGGCAAAAAUGUUACCGCAACGAUAAGGGCUGCAACCAGAAAGCUUGUGACUUCCGAAAACACGAGCAUCGGCGCCGUCAGAGCCCCUAUUCUCCGGCUCCCCAACCCUCCCGAAACCCUCGGUGGCCAAGAGCUUCGAUACUGCAACAACAUUCGCCGGCAGGGACAACUCCACCGCGUCCAUCCGCCACGGAAAGAGCGCUCUGCGCCCUAGAUAACCAAGAAAGUCUCUAUCUUUCCCGAUCCGAAGCACCUCUCACUGCUCAACCUGCGCAUCCCCUUCGAAGGCUUCCAUCGCGCAUCGAUCUCCACGCCAGAAAGAACAAGCACAUGGAAAGAGAGGAGAGAGAGAGAAAGGGUGGAAAGGCGAUGGGACGGCGGAGGAGAGAGGCGUAGGGAGGAGAGGCGGGGGAAAGAAGGGGGAUGCGUAUUUUAGGGCAGGGAGGAGGAGAGGAGAAAGGUAUAUAUAGUUUUCGGAAAAAUCCAAAAGCUCGCCGUCACGCCGGAAUAUUCCGGCAAGUAGGCAGUCGGGACUUGGGAGGAGGGGUUUGGUGUACCACUGUCGCGUGGGAUUUGUACUUCUCUGCUCCUAUUUUCCUCCGUUGGUGGCCGUGUUGGCGUGGGCGAGGCUUUACACGUGUCCUCAUGCACCAGUAACCCUAGGCGACAACAUUUGGCGUUCCUCAGAAAUAUGGGUAACGGUGUGAUCUUAUUUCCCGGUUAUCUACUUUUGUGUUCGCUGCGCCGCUCCUUAGUACGGUUCUUUCUUUUUUUGGUGCAGGGCUUAAAUCGAAUCGGCCCAUGUUAAUAUUUUCAUAUUUAUAUUUUUUUUGGACAAAUAUGUAUAUUAAUUAGAUAUAAAAAUUUAUAUUUAUAUUUAUUUUAAAUGAAUGUAAAGAUACCGAAAAUAUGAUAUAAAUAUUGAUGUAAGCCAGAUAAUUAAAUUUUAUAACUAUAAAAUUAAAAAUAUUACUAAACGAAUGAUAAACCAAAUUAAUAGCAUAUUAAUAUGAUCAUUUAUUUUUAAAAAAUUUAUAAGUACUAUAUAAAAUUAAAUAAAGCUAAAAAUAGAAUCAAAUAUUUAGAUGCCAAUCGAAUAAUUGUCUAUCUAUACCUAUAUCUAUGUUUCUUUGAUAGAUAUGGAUAGAAAUAUAAUAUUAGUCGGAUGCUCAAAUUUCUUUCAUACCUAAAUAGAUUCGAAUAUAAAAAUGGAUUUAGAUAGGUUCAUCUCUAUAAAUAGAUUGAAAUGUAUAUGAUAGGCUUGAUUGAGCAUGAAUGUCUAGAUCAAUAAUUUGAUCAUGAGUGGCACAAAUCCACUUUAAAUGGUAAUAUGGAUAACACUUUUUAUAAAUCCAUUUAAGAUUUCUGGGAAGGAGAGAUAUACCCACGAUGUGAAAGGUGGUGGAUUUCAAAUUUCAACCCUGGCACAUUUGGAACGAUGAAGCUUUAUAAAUUUACAAUUUUUAACAUUUCGUAAAUCUCAAAAAUGUUGUUUGAUAUAUUCUACCAGAUCUUUUUGACCCCUUCAUUCCUUCGUUGAAUUCUUACUUUUUGGAAAACGUUAUAUUGAUAUGAUGGUAAAAAUAUUGUUGUAUCCAGGCAAAAUUAAAAGAAAUUAGAAAUGAAAAAUGUAUACUAUUUAAAUAACAGAUGCCUACUUGAGCCAGUGGAGAUGAGCAAAUCUAGGAACUAUGUAAAAGCAAAUCUGGAGUUUAUCAUGAGUGAAUGGCGAAAUUCACAAAAUUCAAACCUUGAUUUAAGGACCCAUCAGUUGCAAAAUUUCUGGAUUUAAGGGUGGUUGAAGAUAUUCGAUGAUAUCUGUUAGGUUUCAAUAGUUUGCUAGUACUGGAAAUGUAGAUUCAUGGCACCAUGAACAAGGACACCCAUGCAGAGACUAUCCAUGCAAGUUUAGAUCAUCGACUUUUGACAGCUCGGAACAUCUGGGGGCCCCAUAUUGCUUCGGUAGCUCCUCACACGAUUUUCUUUACCUGGAAGCCUCCACCUCCGAGUUUCCUUAAGGUCAAUUUUGACGGCUUUUUUCUGAAUGGUGGUAGGAGGGGAAGGGCCAGUUUUGUCAUCAGAGGCCCGACUUCAAGUGUGGUGGCAGCGGGGGGUAUCAGCUCUUCGACACCUCGGUUUCAGGCGCAGAGUUACGAGCGGCUUAGAUGAAAGUGAGUUAUGUGCGACAUGUGCUGUAGACGACUUUCAUCCUUUUGGAGGGAGAUUCGGCUACGGUGAUCAGCUGGGUCUGGAGGGGCCCAUACAGUGAUAGAGGAGUUCAUCCCUUGCUCCGUGAUAUUUGGUUGAUGGUGAGGAAGGCUGUCACAUUUCAAGCUGUGCAUGUAUAUCGUGAGGCUAAUGGAGCCGCGGACUGGAUGGCGGCAUUUAUAGUGCGCCACUCAGGAGGCGCCCUAUGAGUUAGAAAUGAUGAAAUGCUUGAUGUAUUUCGAGAUCUUUUGUUUGCCAUUUUGCUGGGUGUAUUCAUACCCGCUAUGAUACACCUAUUUUAGCAAAAAAAACAAGGACGCCCACAUUGCGUUAUUAAUGAACGUGGUCUGAUUCGUGGAGAAUUUUAUAGGUAAUGGAACCUUCUGACAUCAAGGCCUUUCUUUUCUUUCUCCUCUUCUUCUUUCUUUUCUCUUUUUUUUGGUAUGGCCGGGGGCGACUUGAAUCUGUUCUCUAAUGAACAAAUGCAAUAAUAACCACAACUUUAAAAUUUUAUCUGAACAGGGUGUUCACAGUCCUGGCCUCCCGUCCCUGGAUGACUGUAAAAUAAAAAAGAAAAAGGAAGGCAAUCAUUGGCUAAAAACUAAUAAAUUGUUUUUUUGAAAAAAAAACAGAAUAGACCUGCAGUCCUCACACCAAUGUAGAAAAACCUAGGAUCAGUUAUUUUUGACAGCAGUUGCUAAAUAUGCACCUUUACCAAAUCUAGAACAUACGAGAUAAGUGAUGACCUUGAAGUGAUCACUUCACAAGGCCACGAAGUAGCUGGACUUGCAAGAUAUUUAGACAAUUAGUGAAAUUUAAGGAAAGAAAGCAACCUCAAAUGACCAAAAAAUCUAUAAACAACAAAUUACCAUACUAGUUUUCUGCAGCAACUCUAACAUAACGGAAUUGUAAUUAAAAAAAAAACAAAGCAAUUCAAACAUGAAGGUACGAAGAACUCCUCAGAAUUGGUUCUGUGUAAUUCAGUACAAAAUAAAAUAGAAUAAAAUAAAGCAAAGCCCUCAGACAAGUCAUCUAUCCAAAUUCUUCCAUCUCGGACAAGCCAAUGGCUUUUAUUAUAUCUAAACAUGCUACACUUUGCACAAUUAGAGUAACUUAUGAGCUCAUACUCCUGAAUAUAGUAUUCAGAAACCAAGCAACAAGAAAGAUUUUCUUAUACGAGUGAGGCACAUCUGGAUAUCACCAGGUAGAAUAAGAGCAGCCAAGAAUGUAAACGUCUCCAUGUUCCAGGCUUUCAGGAUAUCCAGAGUCAUAGGUAUGUACAGAAACUUCUAUAAGCCGUGGUUCUCUGGUUGCAGCAAAGGAUCUUUCCUAGAUGAUAGCAGUUCUGACAGCAAACCCUGCAGAUAUGACAACUCAUAAAUGACUUGAACAUUCCGAUGGCUAGCACAAGUUUAGCAUGCACUAGUCAAAUAUUAAGGUUGUACAAUAAAUAAAUGCAAACAACAACAAUUGACUUUAUACAUAUAAAUGAGAAUAUAAAAUUGACAUAAUUAAUGAAGAUAGACAAGUUAGAAGAAGAAGAAGAAGACAGAUACCCAACUGCCCAUCAAGCAAGGGGUUCAAUCUAAGUCGUUCAUGUGGAAAAAAAUGCAAGAGAAUUGGCACUCCAUGCUCAGAAACAUGUAAAAUCAUAGCCAGCUAUCUAAAAAUAUCACGAUGUAUUUGCAAAUUACCUCAGCAUUCUGCAAGCUAUAUCAAAGUCUUCACAUAUUGGUCAAGAUUUGUAUUGAAGAGCUCACAUCUACAAAAGGGAUAAAAUGUAAUCAGGCAUCACACAUAUCUGUAUCUUCGAAGCGAGAACACUAUUAACACAUUGAGAGAGAGAGAGAGAGAGAGAGAGAGAGAGAAAGCAUGUUAAGACAGAUGCACAUGAAAAGUGCAACAUAUUAUUACUAUUGUUUUGUUGUCUAGUUGAAAAUUGAUUCUAAAUGAAGUUCAUAUAAUUAUAUUGAAAUGCUAUGAAGUUACAUGCACGAGCCUGGCACAACUAAUAUUGGUUAGGAGUUUGUAUGGAUAAAUUAAAGCAAUGGCCAUCCAGCUUAUGCAGUGCAUUUUUACUAGAAACUACUACUUUUCUUGGCAGGAAACAGCACAGCGAGUUGGAUGCAUAUCUGAACCGCACACCACUGUUGAACAAUGCAACAGGAAAUAGAUGGCUAAUUUAUGUGCUUGGUUGAGUCAUAGAUUAAGAGCAAUCUCUAGCAAAACAGAUCGAAACUAUAAAUGGCGAUACAAGGGGAAAAAAUAUUUAAUUUGAAUAAGCUAUUGGUUAUUUUAUUGACAAUCAAGGGGAGUCACAAUAAGGCAAGUCAUAGAAUAUCGAGAUUUCUACAUACAUUUGUGCAUGUAGGUCGAUUGAUGCAUUAACAUAUUCAUGAAUAUUGGCUGACGCAUUUACAUACACAUCCAUGAUUGGAAAAAGUACAAAAAUGAAAAAAAAAAAGAGAAUUUUUUUCCAGACUGCUUUUGCCCCAUGUUUUCGGUGAAGCGGUUCUCGAAUAGGAAUGAAUCCCCGGAUAGACACCUUGCUUAUCUUCGAGAUUUAGAAAACUUGAACAUGUGUAACGCGAUAUCAGAUUAGCACAUUCCUCGGAGCCGGCCUCUAAGCUCGCAAUCUCAUCAGAGGUCUAUCGUUCAAUUAUUUUCGAUUCCUCUUCGAUUUCCCUGUAACUAUGAACAGAAACUCUUUCCAAAUGCCAAGAAUCCCAAUGGGAAAGAAAUAGAUAGGAACCCAAUAACUCUCUAAUGAAACUGGAAUGUUGAACAUGAUGCAUUUAUUCAGUGUACUGGUAAUAAUACACAUGCAGAUGCAUGUGGGCACUAAAGAUUUUAGAUUUGAUAUAUGUAACUAAGACCUAAAUUCUAAAAAUAUCUGAAAAUAAUUCUUUAUCUCUAGGUUCAGAAAUAUCACUUCAUCUUCUCUUGAAAGUUCAUACUAAGAUAACCUUUUUAGAAGCUUUUUGAGCCCCUUAUUCUAUAGAAUUCUAGCAUGUUUUUAGCCUCUUAAAUGAGAAUCUAAUUAGGAUUAUUUUUUAAAUUGAAAAUUGGGAAAUUAAGCUGCUUCAUAUAAUUUNNNNNNNNNNNNNNNNNNNNNNNNNNNNNNNNNNNNNNNNNNNNNNNNNNNNNNNNNNAAAGUUUUCACAAAAAGGGUUCAAAAUAGAGAAUGAACAGUAGCUAUUAGAAAGAAGAAGUUAAUACUAGACAGACCAUUAUAUCUUCCAAAAGCAGGCUCACAACCUGAGAAUCAAUUGGUAGAAAUGGAGAAUAUAGGUUUUGCAAUAUGAGCAUGAGUAAUAUCGAAACUUCCCUGAUUCUGUAAAAAGAAUGACUGUGUGGAUUACUCAUUUCUCCACCACAUAUUUCAAGACAUGCGGCAUGAAAACAGCAUGCUGCAUUGAAACAAAAUCAGAAAUGCAGAUGACUUUAAGUGUGUAUGCAUGCAUAUGCAUAUCCCCAGCUACAUUUUGGUACCAGAGCAAGCAUUUUUUGGAUCCUUUUUCACUCUUCCUCUCGAAUUUUCUAAGUUCUUAUCUUCCAUUUUUGAAACCCCUUGACUAAGUUGAGCCCCUAUCUUUACCAAGGUCUCUCAUGGACCCCUUGAAACAAGCUUUUACAAUCUUAGUUGGUAACUCGAUUCUCUGCCAAUUCCCUUAAUAACUGUAGUUCAUAAUAUUUAUUGUUGUACUUACCUCUGACAAUAUCCAUCAUACUUCAGCCACAUCAACAUCUGAGUCUGCAAGUUAGACACAGUAUUGCUAGUCCGAAUCAUCCUUUUCCUGUUGUUGGACAUUUUUGGUUCAAAUUUCAUGGUUAACAUAUUCCCCUCAAAAAAAAAAGGGAUCUUGCUAUGCUUCAAAAUUGUAGGAAAAUAUCAAUAUCUGACAUUUAGUAUAUCCCUUUGAUUACCAUGCUGGAUUCAGCUCAAAUUUCACAGUACAAUAUUUUCCAAAUAUCAGCAUUCAGCAACAUUAUCUUGUUUUGAAGUUUAACCAGACAGCCACCUGGCCAUAUGCAGCCAUAUCUUUAGAAUAUGCAUCCUCAGAUAGCAAUUUUCAACAGUUGGAUUUGUCCCUUCCAUUACUGGAUUGGUUUCAGUUCAUAUUUCAUAGUUCACAAUUCUAUAAUUUGCAGAGACAAGAAAUCCUUCAUCAGCACUUAUGAACCCUACUAUUCAUUGUUACAAAAUUAUGUUGGAACAUAGGCAUGUUGCCUAGAACCUAGCUGUUAGGAAUUAGAAGGUAGAACUAAUUUUAUAUAUCGAAAUGUGCGGAUCCACAUGAGCUUGCUUUCAUCUGUCCAGGAAGGCUUAUAACCUUCCAGGUCCAAAAGCCUGAUAGUGUCUAGUUUAAGCAACCAUUGAUAAAUGAUAAUGGUAUGACUCGCUAACAGUGCACAAGGCAUGCAAUCUGUGGUCAAGAAAAUGGACCCUUGUAUAUUUAGAUGGGAUGCCAAUGCCAUUGUUUCACCCAUAAGCCUAAUGAACAUGUAUAUUCAGCUACAAAUCAAUUCGAUUCAAGGUAUUUGUACAUUAAAAGAAUAGCAGAUCUAACAUAAUAAGUGGUAGGAAUCAUACUUGAUUGGAGUCCCAUUAACAUAGAGGGGAUUCUUUACGACAUACUCCACAUAAAUGUUGUAUAUAUAUCUCAGUGGUUCCCGCAUGUCGCCAGUCUUGGGAUGAGUAAUUAAAAUAACCUGCAUCAGAGGACUAGGUAAAUUACAGCUAUGGCACACAUUAUGAAGCUGCUAGCAAAACAAUUUACUAACAAAAAGAGGUAAAAUACAACCAUAACCUUGCAACAAGGGAAGAACACUAGCUAUGGACAUUAUGAAGCUACUAGCAAAGAAAUUUACCAUCAAAAGAGAUAAACAUCAAGUCCAUAACCUUGCAACUAGAUAAGUGAGUACUCACAUGAAACAAAAGGUUACAAAUAUGCAGCAUCUAAACCAACAGGUUAUAAAGAGUGAAAUGCAUUUGCAAGUUCACAAUUACACUAAAUCUAAUUCAUAACUCUAAUAAUUCGUAGCUUCAUAAAUUGUAAAAAUGACUGGAAAAUAUUAAACUAGUGCUGCAUUCAGUAACCUGUUUAUAGUCAAAUCCGACGAAUAGUCCAGUCAGAAGCCAUCUAGUGUCGUAGUAAGAUAUCAAGUAUCAAUAUAUAUGAAUACAAAGUAGCCAGGAAGACAUGCAGAGUUCAGUGAAGGGGCAGAAAGAUAUCUUAAGACUAAGUGAAAAGCACCUUGCUAUAAGCUACAGUGCUCAGGGAGAUUUAUUAUGGAAAUGAUGAGGCUGGUAUAUGACUUAUGAGGCAGCAACUUCUUAAGAUUUUGAAAUCAGAAAUAAAUAAUUAAAAAAUUAAGAUAAAAGAUGAAGCCCCAAAUUAUUCCAUAUACAGCACUGCAUGACCAUCACUUGAGUAUGAGUUCAAUGCUAAACAGAUCCAUGAUAUUAGCAAAGUUUAUUCCUAUGUAACCAAAAUCAAGUAUCUCUAUUCCUGAAGUCAUUCAUAGACACCCCAACCAUGAAAACAAUAUGAGGCACAAGGCCACCAAAAUUAAAAAGAACCACUAAACCUUCUUUUCUUUGAACUACCUGUAUAUCCAGAAUGUCACAUUUUUGUUGUGCCUAGUUUGAAAUUCAUGGCUAGGGGAAUUAGCGACUUUGUUUCCUUUCUAAAAGCUCAUGGAAAAUUAAUAAUCUAUGCAUCAAGUUUCAAGCAUUUAUCUAAUCCACGAAUACUUAUUUUUUGACAUUCAAAUCUCAAAUGCUGAAGAGACUAAUCUUACUUCGAUGCUAUGGGUCACUAGGGGCCAUAUUCAUGCAUUGGGAAUUACAAUAUUCCACAUUCCUCCACUUCUUUUUUUUUUCCAAACAUGGCCCAGAUAACGAAAUAGAAUCACAGAAAUCCAAUACCAUCCCUGAUAGUUGCUCUAAUUACCCCCAUUAUUCCAAAGAAAGAAACUUCUGUAUUUCCUAGCAUACAGAUUGCAGAGGGAGCUGUAAAGAUGGAAUAGAAAUGUGCAUGAGAUGGAUGAACAUCUUACAACACAUAACUGCAAAAGUCUACAUCUUUAUACUUCACUGCAUCAAUCAUCAAGUAAUUAUGUUCUGAUAUGCAAAAUCAUUCCCCAAAUUUAACAAUACAAAAUGAUCUUUUUGUCUUGCUUGACCAAAUGGUCACCUACUCCUUUACACAUGCAUUGCUUUAUGCUGAAUGAUCCAUGCACUCCAGCGCAUUUACUGGUCUUGCUCUUGGAAUCUUGUAGAACGCAUAAAAGACUAAAGUAUUCAACUCCCGUAGUUUCACACCAUGGCAACUAAGAUCAUGUGCAAUUUCCUCAAAUUCGAACGUUCUAGAGCAGGUUAAACAAAAGAUUUCCAAUCUUCUCGAAUAAUUUCGAUUAGAUUGAAUAUAAACGAAGUUAUAGAACAAGUGACCUUGACACCGGAAGGGGAUUCCAGUAAGCUAAGCUUGUAGGUGUUGGUGUGGAAGCUGUAGAAGGAGCAGCCCUGUCCCGGGAGCAGAGGCACCCCAAGAUUUCCUUUGUCGACGCUGCUCCAAAGAAGAAGACGGUUUAUUAGGGCUCAAAUCGAAAGAGAAAGAAAAAAGGGGAAGCGGGCGAUGUGGAUGCGGGAUCGGGGUAAGAAACCUGGUUGGGUCUAUCUUGGUUGUGAAGGAGCGGAGGGAGAAGAGGAGGCCGAACAUGAGUUUCUGGUCCUGCUGGGCGUCGAGGGUGUGAAGCGGGCGGUGCCACUCCCUGUACAACAGGCACACCCCGCUCCGGUUGAAGAUGUACAGCAUGUUCGCGUUAUUACCCGCCAGCCCCGUCGCCGUCCCCGGCGGCGCAGCCGGGGAUGGGGCGAUCUCCGCCGCCGCCGACCCUCCGAAGAAUUGCAUCGCUGAUCUGCGCCGCCCAGCCGGCAGCCGCCCUCCUCCCUAUCUCUGCUCCAGAAGGCGGCAGCAGAUCUCGGAACUCCCCGUUCGGGUCCUUAGGAUGAUGGGAAAGUAGCGUGCGUCAAGGUGGAUUGGUAGUGCCGACCUGUACUUCUACGAGUAAAUCCCGAAAGAAAUCACCGACCAUCCGAUCUCAAGGAUGUCCGGCGCGGACAGAGUGGCUGACUGGGUCACCUCUUUUGCUGCUCAUCACUUUGGAGAGUUUUUUGAACCUCACAUAUUAUUCCUUCACUUUGUGGAGCAUUUUGGCUUUUUAUUCUGUAAGCAAUACUCAUGCGAAACUAGUAUGAACCGUCGAUAUAUUCAAUAUAUAUAUAUAUUGUAGGUAAUUUUAUCAGGCAUACAUAGAAAAGGCUACAUGUAAAUUAUUAAGCUAGUACAUGAUGGGCUAUACUACAACUCAUCCCAAAUUUUAAUGAAGGAGAUUCAAUUUCAGGUUAUUUCAAACAGUUAUCAAAUGUUUGCUAGCUUAAUAGAAUGAUACCUCCUCCUUGAUUAUAUCUUUACAUUCGAAAAAAUGAAUAUAAAUUGCGCAUAAACUAAGAAUGUCAUGAUCAGACACCUGAUACUAAUUUUUAUGAUCUAAGCAUGUUAGGAUAAAUAUUACGUAGAUGUUCGAACUAGUUUUUGCAAAUAUUGUGAAAACUUUUACACAGGAACUCUAUAAGACAAAUAUAUUCAUAUGUUUCAUAGUAAUAACGCAGGAAAGGUUUUUGUAUUUUAAUUUUAUAUUUAGUCUUAUAUUCAUUUAUAUUUCUUUAUUCAUCAUCUAGUUUUAAUCAAACUUGAGCUUCUUGAAAAUAAGUUUGCAUUGAUUAAAUUCAUUCAUAUUUAGAAGCAAAUGAACAUUUCCAAACUUCCAUCACGAUUAGGUUGGACGCUUCCAUAUUCUGUCAGGGACUGAGAGAGUCAAACAGAGGGAGUCUGAUUAAUUUCACCUCAAUCAUUAAAACUUAAGAAUAGCCUCUACUUCUAUGUUGUUGUCUUUUAGCAUAUAAAUUUUAUUUAAGGAUAGAUGGCUAUCCAUUUUGUUAUAAUUUCCAUCCACUCUCUAUACUAUAAGCCUUAUCAUCAAAAACAAUAUAUCGCCAUCCCAUAUUAUUUUGUUUUAUUUUAUAUAAGAUUGCUCGAUAAUUAUAUUGGUCUAGAUUCUAUAAUAUCCUCAUCCAAGAACCAAACAUGAAAUUUGAUUGCUCAGUACAUGGUAUAACCACUAAAAUAAUUCCAAUUCAAAAAGUAAAAUAUAGAUUUAUGAAAAUUUAAUUUUUUAAUUUAUUUUAAAAUAUAUGAGCAUGUUAGCAUGUGCAUGGCACAUGCUUAAAAUUUAACUAGCUAUAUAUAUAUAUAAUACUUUUAUUCUAGUCAUCUACAUAGGUAUUUUUUUUAUAAGCGAGAUGAAUCAAACAAUCUAGUAUGAAUAUAUCUAAAAAAAUUUAAAAAUAAAAUAUUAAAAAAAUAUAAUCGGGAUAACUGUCAUGGUGGUUUACAAAAUUUUUUUGAAUGUCCUGCUUCAUAGGAUGUGAUUUAAUUCGUCGCUGUAAUUUUUUUUUUGAAGUGGAUGUAUCAUAUAUGUCGGAUACAAAUACACUUAAAAAGUCAAAAGAUAACAAGUCGCGGAGUACAUCGAAUAAUCCCCUCUUCUAGCCACAGAAUCUUUUCAAAAUGGUUAGCAACAUAUAAAGCUACUCAAUCUGCUAUCUCGUUGACCUCACGAUAUAUGUGCUUUGCCUGCAAGAUCAUCAUACCAUGGAUCAUAAUCUAGAUAUCUUAGAGCAGCAGGUGGCACAUAUUCACCCCUCAUAUUCUAAUAAAUUCAACUAAUAAUUAUAGCCGAAUCAUCUUCGAGCACGACAACACAGGCCAUGCAUAGCAUGGCUCGCUGCAUUCACUUCACAGUAAAUAUGCCUACGAUGUGCACUCCCUUGACCCAAUUCUCUCUCCUUUAAAAAGCUUAGUUAGCUGCUUUAACUUUUAACUUUUAAAUCAAAGUUAAUAUCGCCCUCCGAUCCAUCCAUGUCAACCGGCCGACACAGUAAGUCAGCAUGUGACUGUCACAUGCUCAUCAUGGUUCCCGUUGGGCCAUUGGCGUACUAUGGCGCCUAUCUUUAUGGUGCCCGUGCAAUCGUGCCAUCUCCAUCCACGUCGACUCUCACAUUCAUGCCGACUACCUCGUCUCCCCACCCAUCCCUAAUUUUCUUCAGGCCGAGGAACGAGGAGACCUCAGGCUCCCCCCUUCAUGGCGGCCACAUUGGUCUUGAAGACGGGGGACACGAAGUAGAGCAUGAGGAAGAGACCUAAGAUGAGGUCAUCCACCUCCUCAAUAAGCUUCCCGGUGAAGGACCACGAUCCCCACCUCGAGGGCCCCACAAAGGGUGUGGAUGUUGAUGGCGUCGGCGAUGAACCCGUAGGCAAGCAGGAGAAGGGCCAAUGUCUGGGAGGGCAACGGCGAGGGCGAGGAGGUUCCAGUUGUUGAUGGGGAAAAUUAAUGGACAUGGCUGGCCAAGAUUCGUGGUGAUGAGGAGUUGAGCUUGACAACGAUGUCGGCAAGGACCAGGAGCUUCGUGAUGGAGAGGGUGGCACCCAUGGCUAUAAAGGAGGCUUCACCCAUGCCUUUGGCCAUGGUGACGCAGGGGACGGAGGAGCUGCCAAUGCCCAUGAUGAAGGGGAGUUAGAUGCCGAUGGGAAUGCAAGGGCAUACUUGCAGAUGCCGAGAAUGGUGGGGAGGUUGUGCUCGAGGUUUACCAGGAAGAGGAAGUAGAGGAGGCUGACGUUCGAGAGGAUGUCCGGUAUAGUAAGGAUUUGCUUGGGGACGAAGAUAUCCAGGAACUUCGAAGGCAUCUUAGACUCCGGCAGUGGCUGGAUUGAGCUUAUAAAAGCCCAUCCAUCUUCCAUCUUGGCAUCACUUCUCCUUCUCAAUCAAUGGCCGCUGAUUUGUAUCAAGUUUUCCUUCGAUUUCAGCUGAAAAAAAUUCAUCAUAUUACCAACAAUUCGAUCGAGAGAGCUCAGGCAAGAUUUUCUAACUUCUCUCUUUUCUCCUUUCUUUCAAUUUGGUCCAGUCGUCUUGAAUUGAGCUGGCAAGUCGCAGAAUUUUUGUUCGAAAUAAGAAUACCCUAUUUCAUUCAAAAUAAGAAUACCCUUCUUCGAUUUCAGCCGAAAGAAUUUCACCAUAUCAUCCGUGAUUCUGCUGAGAGAGUAAGAUAAGAUUUUCCAGCUUUUUUUUUUCUUCUUUCUUCCAAUUUGGGCUAUUCGCCUGAACUUAAGCGACAAGUUGCAGAAUUUUUAUUUGAAAUAGGGGUGCCUAUUUCAGUUUUUUUUUAUAUUCGAACGUCUUGGUCGCCGGCCGUCGAAUUUGACCAAGCUCGCCUGUAUUUCUUCCAGAGAAUCUCUUAGCCUAAUCAUCCAGAAGGUAUUUUGGUCAUUUCAUGGGUGGUGUCAGAGGACAAAUCAGGGAACUGGUGAUAUUGACUCGAUUUAAAAGUUAAAGGGGUUAAUUGAAACUUUUAACUGUUUUUUUUUGGUGGGUAAACUUUUAACUUUUAAGGCAGAGGGUUUGUCUGUGUAAAUGGCUUAAAGUUAAGGGGACCAAAAUAUAAUUCACUGCAGAAUUAACAGCUAGAGCUGCAGAAUUAAGAAAGAAGGCAUCCUCAGGGGCUGCCAUCCAGGGCUAGGAAAGAAUGUAAAUAUAGAUUUGUUUGGGGGUACAAGAAUAUAGAUAUAGAUUAGGGAGGUUUCCCAGUCUUUCAGGCAGAGGCGGGAAGCGAAAGAAGCGGGAGUGUCGCCUCCAGGCCUACUGCUCCCUUCUUCUUCCUUUUGACCACCGCCAGUCCCCCGCACAUCAUCUAUCCAAAAAGCUGAGGCGAAAGCUUAUCGAAAGACAAAAGCGGGCGAGGGAGAAGGUCACGGCCAUAGAAAAAUCCAAGUCCAACCCACCCUUUCUUGGUUCUUUCCUUACUUUCCUUUGAUCGAUCGGAGGAGAGCAGUAAGAGGUCUUGGGUUUCUAGGGUUUCGAGAGGAGUGGAGGCGAGGUUGGAGGACGGGGAGGGAGAUGCCGAUGGAUGAGGGGUUGCUGGACGGCAUCAUACGGAGGCUCCGGGACGCGAGGAACGGGCGGACGGUGCGGCAGGUCCAGCUGACGGAGGCGGAGAUCCGGCAGCUGUGUCUCGCUUCGAAGGAGAUCUUUGUCAGCCAGCCUAAUCUCUUGGAGCUCGAAGCCCCGAUCAAGAUUUGUGGUAAGAUAGCCAAAGCUUCCAUCUUUUUUGGGUUCUUUCUGGUUUUGAGAGUGCAGAGAUUGUUUUUUUAGAUAAAAAAGUGUUAAAAUAUUUGCAGAAGAAGAGAAAAACGAACUUUAUAUCUCUGUUGGGGUUAUAUAUACCCUUGUACAGACUUCAUACAAGGAAAAUAAUAUAGGCAAGGUCAUGCUAAUAAAGAAAAAUGAUACUCAUUGAUACAAGUUGUUAUGUGAUUCCUAAAAUCACUCUAGCCAGAUCAUGCUAACAAAGAAAAAUAAUAUUGACCAAUAUAGGAGCAUGCUAACAAAGAAAAAUAAUACUGACCGUUACAAGAUCAUGCUAACAAAGAAAAAUAAUAUGGAUUGAUACAGGUUGUUACCCGGUUCCAAAAAUUAUGCUCACAAAAAGAUUGAAAAACUAGAUCUAUGACUCUCCUCUGCCGGGCCCAUGUUCUAAUUUUAGGAAUUAUAAUUGCUUGUCAGGUUCCUUGUUGCAGCUUUUCACUUUGGAAUGAUGUUUCACAGAUUCCAAGAUAGAUCAGUUAUAUUAACUAGGGGAAAAGAUUCAAUCUUGAUGAUAAAUGCCUCGAAAGAAAUUGAAUUAUAGAGAGUCAAGAACAAAAUUUAGCGUGUAGAACACCUCGAAGUAUCACAGACCUUAUAGUUAUCUGUGUUGUUCCAUGAUUUGCUAACGUUAUGUGCUUUAUUGAACUUCUUGUGAGUUUUAAGUUCGAUCAUAAAUCGAUAAACUGUCCAUAAGUGAAUACCUGUUUUCUUAAGGCACGCGUAGCUUUGAUUUUAGUACCUCAAUGACCAAUUUGAUACUCCAUUUCAUAGAUUUCGUGGUGAAAAUUUAUUCUUUACCUAACAUACAUGCAUGUGAUAAUUGUCUUUACCUUUUAUUAUGGGUCAUGCUUCACUUGUGCUCCAGAGAAUUGUUUGUUCAUGGAAUUUACAACUGAUGAUAUUUGUCUGACAUUCAAAUAACCAAAUCAGUUAUCUGGCACUCUGGAUCAGGGCUAGUGAGUGGUUAUUGGUUACUUUUUUCCUUUGCGAUUAGUCACUGAUUUUCAGCAUGAAUUUAUAGGUGGGAUCUAUCUAGGGAUUAUAUUAGUUAUUUUGGAAUGACAUUAUUGGCAUACACUUUCGGAAUCAAAGUUUUCUCAGCUUUCACUUUAUUGCUACAUUCUGUAAGUGGUACAAAUCUGGUUUAUUGUGUAAACAGUUCUUUGAGUGCUGAUAUAGUAUUGGCAAUGUGGCAUUAAUCAGAUGUACAUUUUGGUUGAAUUUACAAGGGAUGGAUGAUGCGUGGUGCAGCCAAAAUUGCUCGAGAUUGCCAAAUGGCUGUAGUAUAUUGUUGGGCAUUUUCAAUGUUAAGAUGCAUGUUUUAAAAGCAUUUUCUUAAAUUUGUGGCAUGGUUCGUUAUGUGAGAUCUUUUCUUGGGCUUAUUGCGGCUUCCCUUAUUUAAUUUGAGUAGAAUUACGAAUUGUUAUGAGAUUUCUUUUCGAUUUUACUAUAAUAUCUCUUCUAGAUAUAAUUUUGAGUAGUACUAUUUUGUAGUUUAGGUUAGGGAGGCCUUAAGGGUGAUCUUUCUGCAUGGGGUUCCAUGGGGAUUUGUAUUUUGUCCAUUCUUUCCUUUAUUAGUAUAUUUUGCAAUAUCUUAAAGAGGUUCUUUAGGGAAAGAAAAUUCAGCAAUUGACUCAUAUUAGGAGACAUUACAUACUGCCUUCUGAGGGAGGAAUGAUCUUCUAUACAUCCUUAAAGCUGCAAGGAACCCCCAUAUUACAGGGAUGUGUGUAGGCAAUUUACAUUGCAAGUUGGAUGAUACUCUUUUCUUCAUGGUGUGUCUUUGUACUUUGAAAAUGCAAUUAGGUAAUCAUGAUAGUGCAUUGUUAUCCAUCCCCACUGCCUUUCUUUUGUUAAGUUUGCUGGUAUCUAAAUUAGAAUCAAGACAAGCUUGCUGAAAUAAAUUACAACAAAUCUGUGAUUUCAGUUGUUUUCUAUGUCAUUAUUAUCAUCUAAUACAAUCUCAGAUCCUCAGGCCUUAGGUAAAGCCCUAUCUUCCAUGUUGAUGUGAUAUCAAGAUCAUAUCCUUUUUAACUCAAAUUGAGAGAAGUUUCAGGUUUAGAUAGAGAACUCCAAGCUUUACUUUUGUUCUUUGUGGCAGGCUUAACUCAAUUUGUUUUAACUCAAAUUGAGAGAAGAUGGUAACCGGUAAGUUUUUUUUUUGCCAUGCUUGUGAGAGGGCUAAACGUGCAUUAUAUAACUAAAGAAUCUUUGGCCUUAGCUUGGUAGAGAAUAGGCAGAAUAGUUUUACUCGAAGAAGUUAAUAUGACUGUAUCAUCUGGGGUGUAAAUGAUUUGGGCAAGACUCCUUAAAGAUCAUCCAUUCAGUUUCUGGAUGGCAAUCUAUCAGCCUAAUAGCUCGAUAUCUCAUGCUUUUCUCAUUUUGUAUAAAUAUGCUCUUUGAUUAUGAAAAUAACAAAUGGACCAUCUCACCCCUUUAGGGCAUAAAAGAUGAAUUGCUUGGCAUUGGAUUCUCUACUCAUGAGGUGUUUCAAUGUUCUGUAUACUUUUACAUUUGAAGAUGUCGGUUCAAGUAGGUAUUUGAAAAUUAAAACGAUAUUUUCUGUAUUUUUACAAUGAGCAAGCUCUACUGAUCAAAUUGGAGUUUUGCAAAAGAUGUUUUUGCUUAUCUUUUCCUGAUGGUGGGUGUUUAAUGAGGUUGAAUUCAUGCCCAACCAUUAUAUCGUGGUGAUUAGGCUGCAUGGUAUUUUAGGUGUUGAGCAAUAUCUGAAGGAACAACAAUUGAUUAUUUGUUCUCAUUGAUUCUGUCAAUAUAUCUACUGAUUAACUCUUUUUCUUUUUCCUUGUAACACUCGGCUAACAUUAAUUUCCUUGACAUGGACACAUCUUUACGAUUAAGUGCCUUUUUUAUAUGAUGUUUAUGUGGGUUCUGGUUAACAUCAAUCUAAAAUUAUUUAGUUGGAUAUUCAAAAUGCUCAUUUCUCACUGACAGGAGACAUUCAUGGUCAGUAUUCUGAUCUUCUUCGGCUAUUUGAAUAUGGUGGGUUCCCGCCAGGGGCAAAUUAUUUAUUCCUUGGGGACUAUGUGGAUCGUGGUAAACAGAGCAUAGAGACCAUAUGCCUUCUCCUUGCUUACAAAAUAAAGUACCCAGAGAACUUCUUUCUUCUGCGGGGCAACCAUGAGUGUGCUUCCAUUAAUCGUAUAUAUGGGUUUUAUGAUGAAUGCAAGAGGAGGUUUAAUGUUCGUUUGUGGAAGGUUUUUACUGAUUGUUUUAACUGCCUUCCUGUGGCAGCCCUUAUUGAUGAUAAGAUCCUCUGUAUGCAUGGGGGUUUAUCUCCUGAUUUAAAGAACUUGGAUCAGAUCCAAAAUAUUGCUCGUCCAGUGGAUGUACCAGAUCAAGGUCUCCUUUGUGACUUGUUAUGGUCAGACCCUGACAAAGAUAUUGAAGGCUGGGGGGAAAAUGACCGGGGAGUCUCUUAUACUUUUGGGCCUGAUAAGGUAGCUGAGUUCCUUCAGAAGCAUGACCUAGAUCUCAUUUGCCGAGCCCAUCAGGCAAGUGAUGAUAUCUAGAAACAUCUAUCAGAGCAUUUAUUUAUUAACUAAUUGAUCGAUGCGGCCUUUAGUUUUUACACCUCGAUAAUACUGAUUAUAAGAAGUGAUUAAGAUAAAUAAUGCUUGCUAUGUUGCCCAUUUCUUUUGCUUUGAGGUGAAGGCCAAACACAGCAAAUGAUAAACCACUGCAUUCAUGCUCUGCUGCAUAUCAAAAACCAUGUUAACAAAUUAAUAUUUGUUGUUUCCUGCUGGGCAGAUAGACUCAACAAAAACUAUCUCCUCCCUAUUAUAUCUGACCACUUUCUUCCAAAGUUGGGCCUCUUGAGUUAGCUGAUUGCCUUUUUUUCUAGUGCAUUUAUCUAAUCUAUCAGUUUGGGCAGGUUGUGGAAGAUGGCUAUGAAUUCUUUGCAAAACGCCAGCUGGUGACCAUAUUUUCGGCCCCAAACUAUUGUGGGGAGUUUGAUAAUGCUGGUGCUAUGAUGAGCGUAGAUGAUACUCUGACAUGUUCAUUUCAGAUUCUUAAACCAUCUGAUAAGAAAGGGAGGAUCGGCUUUGGGAACAAUUUAUUGAAACCAGGAACACCUCCUAGAAAGGUAAUGAAUUAUACACUGCAUCAGCAAGAGAUUUGUUAUAAGAUUGUGUGGGGCAUAGUGAGUACUAACCCAUGAGUUACCUGGACUAGUGUUAUUUCAUAAAAACAAAUAUUGCUAAUUUAUUUCUUUUUUAGAUAUAAUCUAGUACUUUUAUUAAAAAAGAGCUUAAUUGCAAUUCACCAUUCUUCUUUUUUUCUAUAUAAAAAAAAACCUCUUAUUCUUUCUAUUACUUUGUUUUGGAAUACACAAAUUAUAAGGCUAAGUUAUUGCUCUCUCUCUGGCAUUUUAGUUGCUUUCAUUUUAAAAUUUGAAUUUGGCCGUCCCACUUCUGUUGCUGUUGUUUCUGUCGAUUUAUUACUCAGAUUAGCUCCAACUGAUGCUUCAGGCCUUAAAUGUUUCAAUUAACUUCUUGUUUAUUUAUAUAUAUAAACCAUCUCGAUGCUGUUGAUUCCACUUGUUUCAGACCACUGCUCUUGUCAUCGAAAUACCCUACCUGUAUGGGAGUCCUUGGCACUAAAUUCUUGAGAGGCUAGGUGGAAAUAUUUUUUGUAAACCCUAAGACAAGAAAUUAAUGAUUUCAGCUAUCCUCCCUGGGAAAUUAAAAUGAUCUAUUUGGCACUUCUAAAUGAUUUGUGAUCAAAAAAUUGCAAAUCUGAUCCUGUUUUCUUAUCCAUUUCGGGCUGGCUUCAUAAAUACUUUAUCAUUCAUUCUCGUUGACGGCUAUGCAUUCUGUGACCACCUUUUUCCAGAUCUUCAACCCAACUCCUAUACGUGAUACUGGGGCGCUGUCAGAUCUUUUUUUGACCGUUGGUACAAAUGCAAACUUCUUGUACCGGGGCCUUCUCAAUUCCUGUGCACACAUUCCUAGCCCAUCAAAUUCUGUUUUCCACCACUGUAUCUUUAAUUCAAUUCCUCUGUUUCUUCUUCUCUCUAAAUCAUAUUCUGUAAAAUAGGUGAAGGCAUUUACAUUAUUUGCUACAGAAGGCUGCAUGUAUUGCAUCAUUCUUCUGCUGUUUCCUCUCUUUUUUUCACUCCUCCCCCCUAUUGCCUGCUUUGCUCUUAUUGUUUUUCGACACAAUGUGAUCCCAACCUCCCACUUAAAAAAAAGGAAAGUCCUUUGCAUGUCCUUGCUGUCAAAAUCGUUUAGCUGAUCAUAACACAUGGCAACAACGGACCUCUUGAAGCUCAUAAUGAUAUUAAUUGAUGGUUGGCUUAUCAGGGUGGAAAAGGUUAACAGGUACCAUCUGAAGUUGAUGCUAUUAUAUAUUGUGGACUUCUGGAAGGUUGCUGUGAAGCCAGGCUCAGCUCCCCCUAGUUUACCAGCAGGUCCAGGCACCGGGAUUCAAGAACAAAAGCUGAGAGCGUAAGCAAAAGCGUGAAUGUGUAAAUUUAUCCAGAAGCUCCACUUUUGUUAUCAUCUACUGUAGUGUAAUGGUCUGGUUACAUUUACGGGUUCAACCCCUGAUAUGCAUGUCCAUCAAACUGGCAGCCGAGCCAAUGCCUUCCAUGCACUUUGUAAGAUUUUAUUAAGCUGGCAGCCUCUUUAUGGCAUAUUCGUGACUAAGAACAUCGGAUGUCCAUAUAUUGUGGUAUGGGCAGUCUGCGUGGUUUGAGUUAAACAGGCUGUGGUAGGAGCCGUACUUGGUUCUCUCUCAAUCAUGCAGCCUCCAUGAAUACCUCAGGCAUGUUUACUAAGCAUUGGUUAUUUAAUCAUAGGUGCUCUGCUCCGAGGUAUUGUUGUUUUCUUGAGUCCGGUACUCAUGGUGAUCAUUUUCAUGGCACCAUGGUGAUCAUUUUCAUGGCAGGUAAUUUAUUACUGAAACGUGGGAUGCGUGUUUUGGUGUACUUUGGAGAGGCCAGAGGUGCAAUCCAGCCAAGCCCAAUCAAGUGUAAUAGNNNNNNNNNNNNNNNNNNNNNNNNNNNNNNNNNNNNNNNNNNNNNNNNNNNNNNNNNNNNNNNNNNNNNNNNNNNNNNNNNNNNNNNNNNNNNNNNNNNNNNNNNNNNNNNNNNNNNNNNNNNNNNNNNNNNNNNNNNNNNNNNNNNNNNNNNNNNNNNNNNNNNNNNNNNNNNNNNNNNNNNNNNNNNNNNNNNNNNNNNNNNNNNNNNNNNNNNNNNNNNNNNNNNNNNNNNNNNNNNNNNNNNNNNNNNNNNNNNNNNNNNNNNNNNNNNNNNNNNNNNNNNNNNNNNNNNNNNNNNNNNNNNNNNNNNNNNNNNNNNNNNNNNNNNNNNNNNNNNNNNNNNNNNNNNNNNNNNNNNNNNNNNNNNNNNNNNNNNNNNNNNNNNNNNNNNNNNNNNNNNNNNNNNNNNNNNNNNNNNNNNNNNNNNNNNNNNNNNNNNNNNNNNNNNNNNNNNNNNNNNNNNNNNNNNNNNNNNNNNNNNNNNNNNNNNNNNNNNNNNNNNNNNNNNNNNNNNNNNNNNNNNNNNNNNNNNNNNNNNNNNNNNNNNNNNNNNNNNNNNNNNNNNNNNNNNNNNNNNNNNNNNNNNNNNNNNNNNNNNNNNNNNNNNNNNNNNNNNNNNNNNNNNNNNNNNNNNNNNNNNNNNNNNNNNNNNNNNNNNNNNNNNNNNNNNNNNNNNNNNNNNNNNNNNNNNNNNNNNNNNNNNNNNNNNNNNNNNNNNNNNNNNNNNNNNNNNNNNNNNNNNNNNNNNNNNNNNNNNNNNNNNNNNNNNNNNNNNNNNNNNNNNNNNNNNNNNNNNNNNNNNNNNNNNNNNNNNNNNNNNNNNNNNNNNNNNNNNNNNNNNNNNNNNNNNNNNNNNNNNNNNNNNNNNNNNNNNNNNNNNNNNNNNNNNNNNNNNNNNNNNNNNNNNNNNNNNNNNNNNNNNNNNNNNNNNNNNNNNNNNNNNNNNNNNNNNNNNNNNNNNNNNNNNNNNNNNNNNNNNNNNNNNNNNNNNNNNNNNNNNNNNNNNNNNNNNNNNNNNNNNNNNNNNNNNNNCUCCUCAGCUAGAAAGAUCGGCGAUAUGAAUGCACGCUAAAACAAUCCAUGCUACACAUUUUGAGAUUGGACAGAGGUUGCAUAUAUUUUGAGAGUCUAAGAGGGUUGAUUUCUUGGAUAUUUAUAAUGCAAAAGCAAUCCAACUAGCCUUUAGCGGACCAUCGCGUCGUUAUCCUUAAAUUAGCUUUUUUCUUUCUUCGAUGCACAUGCAUUAGUAAUGGAUGCACAUAUAAUCCAACUUGAUUUGCGUCUCAUGAUAGGAUGAUUAUAGUGGACAAUGUUGGACCAUUCGUGAAAAAAAUAAAUAACAAUUGUGGCCCCCUUUUGCAACAUGAACGCAAAAUGUGCUUUCACUUGAACAUUCUCCCCACUUUUUCAAGUGAAAAAGUUGACAAUUAUCUAUUCGACAUACAAAUACAAUCAUCUAUUCGAAUAAUGAAAGAACAAGGUGAUCCAGAGCCCCUUGUCACAAUUAAAAAUUUGAGUCCUCAUUUCACACAAACUUUUAAGGGACACUCAGGGCUGCUCUAGAAUUCUUUACCAUUCUAGACACUCUAGAACGCUUUCAAAACUUUCCUAUAUAUUUCUAACAGCUCGAAUUUUCUUGUAAAUAUCUCGUAUGAAAAGAGUAGUAUAGAAUGUUCUAGCCGAGGUGCUAACAAUGUAUGUGGCGGACGAAAACUAGCAGGAAAAAGAGGGUUUAUAUAGAGGUUCAACAUACAACAUGCAUGAUGUGAGUACACGCUACUGACUGAUAGCGUGAUUCUGGAGCGAAGGACAACUAGAUAAAAGCAUGCAGCUCCAAGACAAAAUUCAUAAAUUUUGCAAACAUCAUAGAGGCUGGUGCAUUUUGCAGAUAAGAAUUUUCAAUGUGAUCUUCUGACCAUUUCAAUGAAUUGAUAUCAUUAUAUUGAAGUUUACGAAUAUUUGUUAAUUAAUGAGCAUACAAGAUGUUAGAAGCAUUCAGCAUCAAAUGAAACAGUUUUUGGAAUGGCUACGUUAGAAGAUAAAAUAGGUUGCUCUCCACCUCUGUAUGCAACUUAGAACCUGCAAAGUAGCUCCUCUAUUGCUAUUUGAUAAAGAGGGAAAACUUGUGGUUAGCCUCUCGUGUAAUUAAAAAGAAACUGCAAAAUAUAUGAAGGUGGUAAAAGUAGGAACAAAAGAUUGGGUUUAUUUAACCUUCAAGGUUAUCUACCUAAAGUUGUCCUAGUUCUGUUUCAGAGACAACAAAAUUAUUCUCUUCCAUUUCAAAGAAUAAAUACCCUUUUCUACAAAAAAAAAAAAAGGAAAAGAGGAGGCAGGUGCGGCAGAAAGCUUGAAGCAUAAAGAAUUACUGACAAUCAUUAAGCAAAAAAAGAACAGAUUAUUGAUAUAUUUUAUUGGAUUUGCAAUAAGAUGCUUCAAGCUAACAAAUGCCCCUAUUCUCUAAUUCAUUAGAAAAUAUCUUAAAUUGCAUAACAGGCUAUUUCUAGAUUUAUAAAUGAGUAGCAUACAGCAAAUCUUGAGAGAUUUGUGCCAACAAAUUAAAAAUAUCAUUUGUUUUUUGCGUCCAACAAGUGUGUUUUCAUCCAAGAUAUCAUGUUACUUGGGCAUACUAAUACCUAGGGUUUGUUAGCAGUCGAAGGGUAUACAAGUAGCUGGCCUAAUAAACUCACCAACACUAUUAAACUCAUUCAAGGUAUAUUAAACUUCUUUAAGUAUCAAAGAUGGAGAUGAAUGCAAAGUACCAGGAGGCAUGCAACAGCCAAACCGUUGACAUUUUAAAUCCCAGCAUCUCAUGCAGGCACCCAGGCAUGAAAAACUAGGUCACGAGCAACUGCUAUCUACUGUUCCAGCACACAGAAAUGUGUUAAAAACAAGAAUUACAACGAAAUACAGAUCAAACAGAACCUAACCUCAUUGUGAUUCCAAAUUGAAAGACACUAAUGCUCGAGGAUUCUAAAUGUUCUAGAAGAUCACAGUAGCUGAUGAAGACAUUUCUACAAAAACUUCUGAUGAACAUUUCUAACAUUUUAUUCAUUUUGUAUUCACUGUUCUGAACACUGAGUCAUGAACAUGGGCACCCAAUGAUAGAUGUCUAGACUAUGUCACAUGGGUGUCAGAUUUUAGUAUGUUGAACAAAUCAUAGCAAGGAAGAUGACUUAAUGAUAAAAGAUGAAUGACUUACACCAUCCAAAACCAAGUUGACCAUGGAAAUGUUACCAAGAAUUGAAAAAACUCCCAGUUUGGUACGAAAUGCACGAUCCAAACCGAACUGAGGCAGAAUCGGUUUGCACAAUGUUGGUUCAAGGGUAGAUCAGAGACGAACUGCACCCAAACUACUUGAACCACUAGCAGAUGGAAUAGUUCAAGCUGAACCACUGUCACUUUAGGUGAUCAGUAUAAGUUGGUAUCCAGGAAAACCAUUUAGGACCCCUUUGUCUUUUAUUCUUUCUCACCAUUCGAUGGUUCCAUGGGCAGAAAAUGCAUGGAGAAGGAAAGAGGAAGUUGGGAGCUUGUAAUUUCAAGCUCUUCCAUCUUAAAUCCUCGGCUUCAAAAACCUCAAAUUUAUCUUAGGCCCUAUCUUGAAGAGCUUUUGGACAGCCAGAAAGUGUUUUCUGAAGGGUGGAAAGCACUUUCAGAUGAUAUGAGGGUGUUUGGUAAAAUACUGAGAAGUGUUUUUUGAUUCCCCAAAAUGUUGAAAAAGUUCUACUCAGGGGAAGCUCCAUUUUGGAGCUUUUCCCCAAAAACUCUAUUUGGCUGAUGUCCGAGAAGCUGUUAUUGUUUUAAUAAAAAUUUCUUAGUAACCAAAAUGUCCAUGAACCAAUCAAAUUAACCAUAUCAUAUUAUAAUAUAAUAUAACACAUUACUAUGUUAUAUUGUACCAUAUCGUUUCAUAUUAUAUUAUUAUACUAUAGAAUACGAUAUUAUAUAAUAAUAAUAUUGUAUUAUAUUACAUUACAUUACAAUAUAUUACAAUAAUAUAUUACAUUAUAAUAAUAUUAUACUAUGUAAUAAUAUUUUAAUAUAUAAUAAUACAUUACUAUAUCAUAUCAUGCCAUAUUAUAUUAUUACAUCAUAAUUUACAUCACAUUAUAAUAAUAUCAUACUAUAUUAUAACAUUUUAAUAUGUUAUAUUACAUUAUAUUAUACUACACAAUACUAUGCAAUGUCUUUGUCAUACCAAAAGUACUUUCUCAAUUUGGUUACGGAACAAAUGUUAAUGUUCCACAAGACUUUAAAAAUGUAAUUAUCAAACAACAAACAAAUUUUUGUAAAAACUCUACAAACAAAAACUCUACUACCACCGGCAAACUCAAAAAGGGACUUAGACUUAUGUUAGCAGCUAACAAGGUGAGGAAUGAAGUACUAUUCUCUCCUAGUUUAUUUUUUCAUGAGUAAUGUAUAUGCAAUAAAGAAGAAAAAGAGAAAAGCAUAAUAUCUAAGAAAGAGAAUGCUGAUCCAAGUAUGCUAAUGAGAAAAGCCAAAGCAAAGGAAUUUUUUUUGUCACAUUCAAUUUUCAUUCUUUCUCAUUUGAAAAAUAAUUUUAAGAAAAUACUUGCAUGAGGAGAAGAUCUAGCCUAAGAUUAAAAACACUGGCCAAUAAGGAGUUCAGAAAGCCAACUCAGAAUGGGCAUAGGCUUGUCCAUGGCUUUGGUUAAAACGGAAAUUCUCAAAGGUUUAUCCAAAUUGCCAUGCGCUCAAUUCAACAAGAGAUCUGACUUGAAUGAGAUGAAAUAACCUAUGUUGGAAGAAGAUGCUACAACUUUCCGAAUCUAAUAUUCCUGGACUCUACAUGGUCCCAAUUGUAUCCUUCUCCAUGAACAUUAACAUUUCUUUGUGCCUCUUGAUCUACAAUCUUCAACCAUAAAACAUGGUCUACUUGUCACCAUCACCUUACACAUAUUAUGUUGUACCCAAUAUAUAAUACAUUAUGAAGAAGGCAUCGCCCUUUAAAGCUAAGAGUAUACCUGAAUUAUGAAUCAGCAACUUUAAACAUCAUGGACCAGUAAAACUUCUUAAAUAUACACUUGCACACAUGCCACAAAAACAUGACUUCAUUAUUUAGGUCUAAAGCUAAAAAACAGGAUAAGCAAGUUUUCAUCACCAGGGAGGAGUGGAACCCUGUCUUACUGAAGGAGAUCUUGAUGCCAAACUAGCAUCUCUUGAGAACCUCGACCUUUCCUUUGGGGUGCUCGCAAGUGGGCUCGAACCACGAUAGCUUGCACGAAGUGACUCAUCCACAGUGUGUGAAGACUUCGCAAUUGCAUUCCUCACAAACUUCUGAGCAGCAGAUGACAGUGUCCUCACACUUGGGCUGGCGCUGCCCCCUCUAGCUGGUGAUGGCAAGGGAGGCUUCCCAAACAUCUUAGAUCUCUCCCUCAGCUUUCGUGCGGCUUCCCUUGACAGCGAAUGGGCUUUCACAUCCCGAGAAGGUGGCAGUGGAAUCCUAUAGUGGGGUCCCUCACUGCUCCCACCAAUGCCGCCCGGUGUCUCCUCAGGAUCCAAUCUCAGUGGUGUCCCUUCUAUUUCUCCCCAUGUCAUGAAUGGUGAUUCGUCCACACCCGGGGCAGGAGAUGGUGUCCUCACAAAACUAUACCCGUUCUCCGAUUUCUUGGUGGAUUCCACAUAGAACGGAUUCGGGGUCUUCCUCAAAUCCUCCAAGUCAUAUUUUUUCGACCUCUCUGCCUCUCUAUCUGGAAAAGGCCAAGCAGCACCUGCUGGAGUGGUGCCAGGGACUGGGGUGUAAAGGAUUGCGACGGCCUCUUCCUCCUUCGUAGGCUUCGAAUCCGCCACCAAUUUGCCAUGGAACCGAGUGUUGGAAUGGCUGAUUUCCUUCGUCAAGCCGUUAAGCCUCGCAGCCCUCUCCUCCUCCGUCAGCGCUACCUCCCCUCGAUCGGCCGGAUAGUACAUCAAGAGAUUCUUGGCCGCGUACUUCCAUCCUUCCAGCGUGCUUGCCGGCUGACCGGACGUGCCGUACCCAUCGGUGAUCCGAUCCCUCUUCUCAUCCUCUAGGGUUUUCACUGUCUCCUUCUCGCCCUCCAACAGAUAGGCGUACCUCUCCCUCUUCUUCCUUUUGACCUUCUCCAUGAUCUUCGAGAAGCUAUCGUUGUCCUCGCUUGUGUACCUACGGAAGAACUCAUCGAGCGUGAGGGAGACAUCGACGUCGGCGGCAGGGUCAUCAGACGCGGCCUGAUCAGCGGUCGCGGGAGGGACUGCUGGAGUCUGGUCGGAGCCGAAGGGGGUGGCCGAGGCGGCGGGGAAGAAAGUGGAGCCGGGGGUCCGGGUCCGGGAGUGGUUGCCGGUGGCGGUUGCGUCCGGGGCGGCGGAGGGGGUCUUGCCGCCGGCGGCGGCGGCCCGCCGCUCGAGGAUCUUGAGCUGGACGUCGCGGAUGAGAACGGGAUCGCCGCUGCGGACGGCCUCGAGCCAGUCGAGGCGGUCGCGGAGCUUAGGGAUGUCGGGGAAGAAGUCGCGCUCGAUGAUCUUCUCGAUCGCGGCCACGUAGGCGUCCUCGUCGAGGACGGUGUCGCGGCGCUUCCGGUUGUUUCCCGGAGGCUGGUAGGCAGCGGCGGCAGAGGCGGCGGAGGAGGAUGAGGCCGGGGCAGAGGGAUCUAGGGUUAGGGUUUUCUCGGAGGCGGGGGGCGAAGAGAUUUGGCGAGGGGAGUGGCCGGGGGAGAGAAGCAUUUUCGACGGAUAGGAGAUCGAGAGGAUCAAAGAUUAUCAGCUUUUGAUUUAAUUCAAGACGGAAGAGGUCGGUGGUGUUUCGGAUCUGGGGUUGGAGAGAUAUAUAGAGAGAAGGGGAUUUCGACGCGGAGACGGAGAGGGAUUCAGAGUUCGAGCGCUCCGCGGAUACGUGUAAGUUAUCGUGUUCGUAACCGCGGAGUGGUCUGCAGAAGUGAAAAAUCGGGUUGUACCGAGCAAAAAGCCGGAUUGUCCGGUCUACGAAACCACGUUGGAACGGAGGAGGACAGGAUUUAGGAGACUGGUUGAAAGAGGUAAUUUGAUGGUCUCAUCCAAAUAUUUGAUAUUUAUUUUUGGUAGAAAAAGAUUUGAUGGUUCAACACAAUGCGAGCCUGAGAUCAUGUAUCGAGGCGCAUUAGGAUGCAAAGUGCACCAAUGCCUCUAUACUAGUAUGUAUGUGAUCAAACAUCUCAUGAUACAAGUUAAUGGAGGUGGAUUAGGCUUUAUGCUCAUCAAAGCAAUUUUAAUAAUUUGAGACACCACCAGCUGUAUCCUGAUGCAUAAGAUGAUGGCAACUAAUCAAUUUAGAUUUUUUUAUGAAGCUUAAAUAGGUGAAAAGUUUGAAGCUUUUCCAAUUCUAAUAAAAUUUUAAAAAGAAAAAUCUAAGCCCACCAAUAUGGAUGGAUGAAAUGCACCAGAAUUGAAGUGUUAUGAUGUUAUCUAUCACAUCCCCCCACGCCCCGUUUUUUUUUGGAGUUAACAAUGCAGCAUAGAUUCAUCACCUGCUUUAGAAAUAGCAAGUCUAUAAACCAACACGGAAAGAGAAAUGGCAAACCUACUAGAGAGAGGCCAUAGGAAAACAGAAGCCGAAAGCUAUAAAACAUGUGGAUCACACUAUACUAAUUGAUGAUAAAACAAUUUCAUCUACUAACAAGGAAUUUUCCGCAUUGGCUCCAUGCUUGAAUCUAGCGACACAAUUUCCACAUCGACUCCGUGAUUCUAUGCUCUUUUUUCCUUUUUCUUUUAAAUAUAUGCAUCGGUUUCCUACAAUUACUCAUGAUUUUAUUUUAGUAAAACAUCUUUUAUUAGAUAUGGUCAUGUACAGCAUAAACCAAGAGAUGCACAAGUUCGAAUGAGCGAUUUAAUAUAUGUAUAAAGAAAGAAAUGUAGAGAUCGGCCAAAAAUCAUAUGGAAUGUAGUAAAAAAAAGAAAAUUGAUAUCCCUACAACUUUUAAAAAGUACAGCCUAAAAAAACAGAUGAAACAACUUUUAAAAAGUAUGGCCUAAAAAAAACAAACGAAGGAAAAGGAUUCAUAUAAUCGACCUCAACUAAUUUGGGAUCAAGACCUGGUUGAGUCUAGAACAUCUUAGACUCUGAGAUGCAUAUUGAAUCUUAAGUCCACAUGCUUCAAAAUACAGACCAUGUCUCAGUGAUAUUAGUGCUCAAAGAAGCACGAUGUACAGUUGUGCUUGUGAUUUGUGAAACAUGUAAGAACUGCUGACCAUUGUAACAAUUAUGAGAAAACCUAGAUUGGUUAGUUCUACCCAAUGGACUGCAAAAAUUUUCCUAAGAAAGUUACAUGCUUUUGAUCAUUUGAUCAAUAAGCUUAAUAAGCCGAGGCAACAAACAUAAACAGGCAUGAUAGAUAACAUCUUUUUCUUUUAAAAAAAAAAAAUUGUUGCUUCCACUGGUUCUCCACCGACAAACAUAAUCCCAUACCUCCACCUGAGGACCAUAUCCAUAUCUACCGUGAAUUAGCUUACACCAUCCAGUGCUGAAAACACCGAAAGGAUACCAGGGUAACAUUUUCCUUGAAUUCCAAGAGCCACAAAAUGCCUACUUUGGCCAUCUAUGAUUACAAAGCAAGCUCAACCUUCGACCUCACAGCACAUCUCCUGACUUGACUGUUAAUCAUAGACAAAAAUGUUUCAAUAGAAGGACAGAUGGGGCUGCAAAAAUGGCGGGACCACGCAUGGUCUCCUGCUCUCCUUACGCAGAUGUAGAAAAAGCUGACCAAAUUACACCAGGUGCAACCAAGGAUACAAAUGGAAGAGAUAUCUUCACAAGCCAGAGAUGAACAGGAAAAUAAAACUUAAGCAAAUAUAACCAAAAAACACAUUUAGAAAAAGAAUGUUUUCAUAUAAACCUAGAGAGCUGCAUCAAACAUUUAAAGACAUGCCAUAUUGGCCACUUUGUUAUGAAAAAACUGGUCCAGAUUGACAUUGUAUAGCUAUAAUUCUACCAUUUGAACUGAGAUGCACAGCCCUGUAACCAAUAAAAACUGCACCACAAUAGAAUCAGCAACAAGAUCAGUACUCCCAUUUCUUCAGCUCCAUCCCUGCAGGCGGACUUCCCCCUACCCUCUUUGAACCCACUUCUUUCCAGUUUGUAGACAGUACCGUGCCAUUUGAUUCAAUCUGUAAAAAUGAGAUCCAAAUUAGACUUAAUCAAUGGAAACAAGUUGAUGAUGACACCUCACAGACAAGGCUUUCCAUGAAGAGAUCCUACAACUACAAGCAGCUGCCAUCAAGCAAUUCUAACAAAGACACAGAGUGAUAUAAUCAUCAUAAUAUAAUAUAGGAGGCUAACGUCCUAGGACAUGAAUGUCUAUAAAGGGCGAUAAAUAUCAGAACAAUCAAUUAUCCUUGUAUAAAAAAUAUACUAGGUAAGUAAGAAAAAUGUCUUACAAAGGAUUUGCUCAUUGCUCGUCUUGUGUCCUCAUCAGCAUCUCGAUAUAUAUCCUGGAACAAUUUGUUCAAUGCUGCAUCACCAUCAAGUUUCUCCUCUUUCUCCUGACAGAAAGCAACAGAAGAUAAAGAAAGCAAAUAAUAUGUUGAUCUUGGAGGUAUUCAUUAAAUUGAGAAAACUUGGGAAAAAGAAAAAAAAAGUACAGAUAACGCAAUAGGAUCAAUAAAGGCAUCAAUGAAUAUGCGCACAAGAAUAAUACUCCCACAAUAAGUUCUUUGCAUAUUCUUCACUUUUAAGUCAUUUGACCUACCUCCUUUUUAACUUGGGCUUCUAGCUUAUCCCAGUCAAUUUUAGCUUUUGAUGGUCUCUGGCAUCCCGGCACUGCAAAUUCUAAAUGAAUGAAAUAAUCAGUAUCUAAUAUAUCCAAAUUACUAAUAAGAGUGUUUUCAGUGCCUGGAAUAUCCUGAUCACUGAGAUUCAAUUAAAAAACCCUUCCGAAAAUCUUCCUCCCAUUACUAUUCUAGUCCCAUUAGGGAACCAAACAUUUCAUUAGCACAACCUCUAAGUAAUAUUCCUAAGCCAGUUAUAGUGCUUCAAAGCUGAUUGNNNNNNNNNNNNNNNNNNNNNNNNNNNNNNNNNNNNNNNNNNNNNNNNNNNNNNUGACACCACAACUCAGUUCAGGAACACGUCCCAAACAUUUAAAUCAACUUAACCAAAAACUUAUACAAACAUAAGUGACAAAUACCAGAGAAAAGAGCCAGACUGGUCUCAGGCAAUCAUCGGGAAGGUACGUAGUAACCUAGACAAGUCAGGAAAAGGAUUUGAGUAUCUUUUUUGUUAACAAAAGAGAAAGCACUAAAGUAUAAAGGAAUGCCAAAAAAUAGCAUGACUCAUACAAAAUAUUCAUUUAUUCCUAAAGACAGGCUUUCCUAUUUUAAUAAAGGGACGGGAAAUUCAAGGCACAGUUUAAUUGCCCAAUGAAGAAGCUAUAAAGCAAAUCUUGUGGGGCCAAGAUAAAGGAAGAAUAUUUUGUUAAGAUUUGGUUUUGGCUACCAGUUAAAGACGAUAUCCACUUAUGACCGACAAACAAUCACCAACCAGACAAUGGACAAUCCAUCUACUGGCACUAGAAAAAAAAAUAUAGGACUUAUAAAUGGACAAGUUCAAGCCCAUUAACAGCCUACAAAUGCGCCAAAACCAAAGAAACAACAGUGCAUGCAUAAAAAUCACACAAUUUUACAGUAAGAGUAUGAAAUUUUAUUCUUCUGUAAAAAAACCCAUGGAAGGGCCAUUUUGUUUACAAGAUUAUCAAUAUUGUUUUAGGAAUAGGACUGCUUCAAAAAGUGUAAAAUGUGUCGCACGGCUACUGAGACAACUGCAUGCUUCCAAGUAGCAACAACAAAACCACCUUUAAAUUUCACUAUAUUUUAUUGAAACAUUUCUUUUACUUCAGUUAGACGAAACAUGCAAAGUUUAACUAGAAAAAUCAGAUUAAAGUUGUCAACUAGAACGGUCUCAAGCCAAGGUAGUGCAGAUGUCGACAAGAAGCAAAUAAGUAAAUGGCAGAUAUAUUGAAUUGCAUUGCGACAGGCAAGCACAUGCUCCAACACAAAAUCAAAGAUGUGCAUUGCAUAACUGAUGGGCAGAUAAGACAGCCUAGUUAUCAAGUGAUCUUCAGGGCAAUUGUUAUAUUUAUGAAUAACCAAGAGACCUAGUAGUUGUUUUUCCCUCCCCCCCAACCCCCUAAAAAAAAAAGAACUACCUGAUGAUGUGUUUAUCUUCUGGGGGACUGUUCUCUUGUCACUAAAUUCCAAAGAUGUCCACGUAAUAGGUUCGGCUUUUGAUAGACGGAUUUCAAUUUUGGAAGACAUGACUUCAUAUCUGCAAUUUUUGGGUAUAAUCUGCUUGUUGCCAACCAACAUCAGGAAAACAAGAAAAGAGCCGAAUUAGAAAUGCAAUAAAAAACUGAAAUAAAUGAACUAGAUACAUAAAAAGAAGCUUAGAAAUGCAUCAGCAACACAAUGUUUUGCUAAUAAAUCAGUCUAGAAAACCAUCCUGACUAACCUCUGAAAAAAAGCAAGGAAUAUGCCUAAACAUGAAAAAUUGCAUAAAAGAAAAUCUUAACCAUGCUGAAAUCUAAGCGCAGCUAAUCAGCUAAUCUCCUAUGAAAAGAUAGAGGACAAUGUACCACAAGGUUCAUCUGUUAAUGGUCAUGGAAACUUAGAGAGUUGGGAUAACAAAGAUUGAUUGUGCCAAAUUAAAAUUUAAAAGAACAAAGCAUAUGAAUAAGCAGACUAACAUCAGUUAACAAAGAUUCACACAUGUAGGUGAAGGCAUGUCUUGGAAGCUUAUGUUCCACUACAAAUGUCCCAGUCAAGAGAAAGGAAAUUGCAGUUAGCUUUCCAUAUUAAUCAAGAAGAUUUAGGAAGUUUAGCAGCUUGCCCCACUUUUCUCAAAGAGAGGAUAAUAGACAAAGAUGUCAACCUCUUGUGCACAAAAUAAGCUUCAGAAAACAUCCUUCUUAUAAUAUGAUCUUCUACAAACUGCCUCCUAAUGUACAGUAUAACUAGCAUUGAGAAAAUAAGACAUAAAUUGAGAAGAAUGAUUGCUUGAAUCAUGUUGAUUUGGCACCAGUGCCACUUAGAAGUUGGUAGUAAUGUGGAUGCUGCGAAUAUGCACCCUACAGUUCAAUAUUUGCAUAUUUGAUCAGGUGGCUAUGUUAAAACAUCUGCACCUGACACAUAUAUGGGUAUUAUUUUGACAGCAACACUUGGAUAUGGAUUCGUAAGAAGGAAAACAUAGAUACACCAGGCACUAAUACCCGUAUCCAUAUAACAAAUUAAGACAGCCAAUGCUAGAAAUACUAAGCAGCACUUCCCUCAGAAGUCAGUACAGACAUCUAAUUCGUCCACAUGCAGUCAGUUUCAGAAAAGCUGUUUAUACGGAAAGUGCAGCACUGAAAGCUUUUGCCUAGAGUGCUUUUGCAUCUAAAGCACAUUAGCUAUUGGGUUUUACACCCUUCAAAUCUCUUUUCUUAAUCUAUGAGUAAAACUGCAAGUCCUGGAUACAGAGGUUGUUAAACAGACAAAUGAAUAACCAAAAGACUGAAUCCAGAUGCACGUUUGGGCUCCAAAGCCUUCUGCAUUUUCCCUAGAGAACCCUACAUCCAAACUUCAUUUUUUAAAGAAAAGGAUGAUGUGUUUGUCUCACAAGCACAACCUCCUUUUAGUCUCACGCUGUGUGUUGGUUUCUUCUAUAUGCAUACAAUGUGUUUAUCUUCACGUGCGGU